rnacentral:lncRNA from 1 species
CCCCUCCUCUACUUUGAGUUGCACCAUGCUUUGUUUCAGAUUCAUCCACCCAUGGGUGAUACAUGGCAAGUUAGGGGUUGCUGCAGUUUGAGGUUAAUCCCUUGAUUGGCUGCUGUUUAGGGUUGAUUGGCUCAGUUGGCUGCUAGACUUUAGGCGUGCAUACAUGGGUAUGACGUGCUCUGCACAUUUAGGAUUGAAGUAUUGUGUUGCAGCACUCAGUGACGUUAAUUUAGGGCAUUUCAGUGUCAGUUCCACUAUAUUUAGGGGGACAUUUAAUAGUGCAAUUUCAUGGUUAUUACAGUGUAAUUUCAAGGUUCUUGCACUGUAAGUUCAGAGAAUUACAAUGUUAGUUUAUGUGAAUUCCCGUGCAUUUUACUGUGUAAUUUAAGUGCAAUGGAAAUUAUAGUGUAAAUUUAGUGUAAUUUACUAUGUAAAUUUAAGGAAAUUACACUGUAAUUCGUGUGCAACUUUUAGUGUAAUUUACAGUGUAAUUUCAACGGGUUUACAGUAGAGUAAUUUAAGUGUAAUUACAGUGUGCACUUUAGAGCAAUCAUACUAUAUAUUUAGUGAAUUUAAAGCAUCACUCCAUACCUUUCGCGUUUGUCUUUUUUCUCUACAAGUUACUGCUAUACUGUUGAUUGAUUCUACCCUUGCGUAAGAAACUUUGAUGAGCACAUAAUUUUCUACUAUGUAAUUUGAGCAGCUUGGUAACCGUAAUUUUCAGUUUCCUUUGACCCUAGGCCCUUGUGCUUUAGAAUUGCUAUUUUUUGUCAGUGUACAUGCUAGAUCAUGUGGUUUAUGAUACUUCUCUGGUCCUUAUAAACAAAGUGACAUGUUUGUGCCGUGGAAUAGAAAGAAUAUUUCAGUGUCUCUCUUUAGGCCUUUUGUCGAAUUGUUAUGUGGUCCAGCGCAGCCUUACGAAACCGGGUUCUAUGCAGUUCAUGUACAGUGCAAAACUCAUUAUUGCAGGUCAGGCCUGUUGCAUGUUUUUGGUCAUUGACAUGCAGGAAAGAAGGAAAAAGGACAUAGAAGUAUCAUUUUGUUAUUGGUCAAGAAAUUUGAAUAAUGUCCAACUGAUUUCAGUUGAAUGACAAAUAGACAAUCCCUUGUUUAAUCAGUAGAUAUACACCAUUAACUCAAAUAGCAAAGAAAUACUAGUCCACUUAUAAUCGACGAUUGCGCAUGAUGCAUCCAUCCAUUCUAUCGGAGAGGCUGUGUUUUUUUUUCUUCUUGUGCUAAGGUUGAUAGCAUCACAUAUCUUAUGCUUUUGUUUCUCAAGUAGAGCCUUGAGAUAGAUGUGUCUGCAACCGUCCUCGAAUGGUUGUGCAAUAAUAAUGGUCCUAGCUAAUUACUAGUAUGCAUUGCUUAUAAAACAACUUGCUGCUCAUUUCACUUUGAGUAUGCUGUUGCUGCUAAAGUAGCAACAACAACAGCCAUGCUUUGGUUCCCCAAAAUUCAGAUGGCACUGACAUCUCUACAUACACACACAUAUGAAUAUGCACCUUGGUUUGGUUCAGUUUGCAUGUGUACCGUUUCUUUAACUUUGACUGAAACUAUCUUGGUGGCACUUGCAUCAAUGUUGUGCUCUACCCUUGUAUAUGUCCUUGGAGAAGAUGACCAUUGGACUGUAGGGGACGAACAACCUUGUCCUGCUCGAGGAGGAGGAGGAUGGCCACCCCGAGCUCGAGGACGACACGACAACAGGUAGCACUCACCUCCCUACCAAGGUGAAGGUCCGAUCCGCCUGUUUAGAUGGUCUGCUCUUGUCUUGUGAUCUGAGGGGAGAAGAAAGCCAUUGGCCUCAAUUAUAUUUGCAUGUGAGGGGAGCGAUCCUUUUGGUAGAUGCAGAGUAUAGAUUAGAUAUUCCACAAAACUCACCACACGAGUAUACUACCUAUAUCCACAAAAUUCACCACACGAGCAUACUACCUAUGUCCAAAUGUGGGUGUGAUACUUUCAACAUGAAACAUGAAUAUCAGGUUGGGAGUUUGGAGUUUAAUCAAAUAACGCAGCAAGGCGAUCAUCGGUAGGGAUGCACCUUUGAGGCGGCAAGGAGAGCUUCUCAAAGGCAGUACACAUGGCUUAUUACUGCUUGUAUGUGAGUACGCAGAUGUGGAGUCUAUGGAUAGAGGGUUAGGGGCGCAACGCAAGCAGCAGUAGGGGAUACACAACCUGAUUUGAUUUGGUCAAUCACGGGGAAAUGGGAGAAGGCCUAGGGUGCAAAGUUUGGAUCGGUGGGUUGGUAGCGUUAGGCAUAAUAGAGAUCAAACUUUUUCAUAGGCGUAUGUAGGUUAUUUCCUUGAAGCAUUUUAUCAAAAUGGUGUAGGUGGGUAAUAUCUCUCAACUUAAAUGUGAAGGGAAGAUAUUAUUUCCUUGUAGAGGCCGAGGAAUACAUGGCGUACCGCUACAUAUGCAACCAUGAUUUUUUGUGGAUGGUUACGAGAGAACCUGAAAUAUACCAUGGACCGAAGCAUGGGCACAUGAAGUUCCAACACCGAAGGGUAAGGAGACGGGCCCGCGUCAUUUACGUCGGGAAUAUGCGACCUUGAUUCUUUGUGGAUGGUGAUGCCAAGACUAUAGGAUAAGGUGGAUCCGGACACAUGAGCAGAUGAAGUGCCUGACACGAAGUAGGUUAAGGAGCUGGACCCAAGUCAUCUACACCGCAAAUUGGUCGAAGGUGUGCCGUGAAUGAUAGAUGUACUUGAGGGGGGAGAAAGCCUGUGAAAAGAACAUACGGUUGCUCGAUGAUGACACAUGUCUUGAGAGGAUGGCGAGAACCCUAGAUAUGGUUAAGGCAUGCCACGAGAACAUCACCCCGGUCGCGAGAUUCUCAGUGGUGUGCGGCAACCGAAGCCAAAAGGGCACCCCCGCAAGACCUUGAAACGCCAGAGCGGUGGGCGCACAAGCAAUGGUGAGGAAAAUCACAUAAGGUACCAAGCAAGGCCAUCCUGAUCAGGGCUCCAUUGCCAAGCUUAUGUCCACCACUGCGAUUUAGACAAAUUUUCAACUGGCGUCUCUGUCUUCUCAAGAUUUCCACGGUCCCAUCAGGAUGUAUAUAUAUACUUUGUUUAUUUUGAAAAUUAAUAUAUCACCAAAGAAAUUUUAGUACUUGUCAUUCUUUUAAUUACUUAGUAGUUUGCAUGAUAGACUCAAUCUUAUAUUUACUAAUUAGAGGCACCAAAUAAGCGACCACGUUAAUCCUCAAAAACUAAGAAUAGUAUCCAUCCGAUCUCCAUAUUAAGUAUCUGUAGCCGUCCAUUGGACAACUCAAGAGUCCGUUGUUACUAUCCCACGUCAUGCUCGAUGUAAUGUGAAAAAAAAUCAUCUCCUUGGCCAAAUCCAUCCCACGUCAUGCUCCAUGUAAUGUGAAAAAAAUCAUCUCCCCGGCCAAAUUCUUCCUCCCCCGGUCUAUCAUGUGAGGCACUUGCGCAUCAUCCACAAAUCCCUAGCGCAAAUCCAUCCCACGUCAUGCUCCAUGUAAUGUGAAAAAAAUCAUCUCCCUGGCCAAAUUCUUCCUCCCCCGAUCUAUCAUGUGAGGCACUUGCGCAUCAUCCACAAAUCCCUAGCGCUACUCUUCCAGGUCAUCCUCCUCCUUCCUAUCUUUUGCUGUCUUAAUGCAAAACAAUUCCGUGAGAUCCUUGUGAUCCUCUUCAUAUUCACGUAGAAAUCUGAACUGUCCCAACCACGCUGCAGAUCUGUGGUCCGUCUUGGACAAAGAGAAGGCCCUUUCAAUCUCCACAGAUGCCAUGCCCCAACCAAACCACAACCCAUGAUAAACGAUGUUGUUGAGAAGGAGGCGCUACCUAAGUCUGAUCGGACAUAUUCCAUUGUUGGGGAAGCUACAAGUCGAAGAACUAUGGUAGACUGAUUGCAGGUAAUUAAGGAGCUAGCAACGAUCCAGUAGGUUUUUGUUAUUAGGAAUUUUUAUGUAGUGCGACUUGAUCUCGAAGAACAAGUACACCAUUAGAGUUCGUUUUGGAGGAUUUUGAUGAUGUGCGCUUAGUUACAGACUUAUCUAAAUACGUAUAACUAGGAUGGACAAUAUUUGUAGGAGCCAUACAAUCCAAUUAGGGGAUUCAGUUUGUCAAAGAUGUUUCCACAUAUCCCUAGCGCUGCUCUUCUAGGUUGCCCCCUGCUUCCUAUCUACGGUCUUCAAGUAAAGCGAUUUAAUGAGUCUCUUGCUGCAGAAAUUCCAACUGCCACAAGAAGGCUGCAGACCUGCGGUUCAUCUUGGCUGAGGUGUCAUACAAUCCAGUUAAGGGAUUCCAUUCAUUGAAGAUGUGGUUGUACUUUCGCACAACAAACUCAAGCACAUCUUCUUAUGUUCUUAGAAACUGGAUGAGUUGUUUUGGACUUUCUUUGGUCUACUCCUCUAUGCUUCUUGUUGGGAAAGUUAGUAUGCAAAAGUUAUGCCCAUCUUCUUAAAUUCGGAUGUAACUUUUCGAGUAGAUGAUUUUUCAUAUAAAAAACUUUUUCAUCCGAGUUAGUAUGCAAAAGUUAUGCCCAUUUUUACAAAUUUCAGAGAGAUUUUGCAAAUAAAGUCAAAAUUCACAUUUGCAAAUUUUCCCAACAACUAGACCACAUAUCACAUGGGAAACUUAUUUUCUUUUAUUUUUUUGACAUUUCCAUCAUUUUCUUUUAUUUUUUUAAAANNNNNNNNNNNNNNNNNNNNNNNNNNNNNNNNNNNNNNNNNNNNNNNNNNNNNNNNNNNNNNNNNNNNNNNNNNNNNNNNNNNNNNNNNNNNNNNNNNNNNNNNNNNNNNNNNNNNNNNNNNNNNNNNNNNNNNNNNNNNNNNNNNNNNNNNNNNNNNNNNNNNNNNNNNNNNNNNNNNNNNNNNNNNNNNNNNNNNNNNNNNNNNNNNNNNNNNNNNNNNNNNNNNNNNNNNNNNNNNNNNNNNNNNNNNNNNNNNNNNNNNNNNNNNNNNNNNNNNNNNNNNNNNNNNNNNNNNNNNNNNNNNNNNNNNNNNNNNNNNNGGCACGAACCGGGACUAAAGGUCUCAACCCCAUUAGUCCCGGUUCGUGCCUCAAACCGGGACUAAAGGUCUAAUCUUUAGUCCCGGUUUGAGGCACGAACCGGGACCAAUGGUUGUGGGCCAGAAGCAAGGCCCAUUGGUCCCGGUUCAUCCCACCAACCGGGACCAAAAGGUCCAGAUGAACCGGGACCAAUGGCCCACGUGGCCCGGCCGGCCCCCUGGGCUCACGAACCAGGACCAAUGCCCCCAUUGGUCCCGGUUCUGGACUGAAACGGGACUAAUGGGCUGACCCGGCCUGGACCAAAGCCCUGUUUUCUACUAGUGAGUCCAAUCUUGUGUUUAUUCCUCCAUGUCGGCAAAGAGUCAGUAGUCAAUCUCCAAGCAAAAUUGCGCACAGUGGGGGGUACAUCACAUCUCCAUAUAUAUUGCCAGCAUUUUCUACUACCAUCUGGCGAUGUGCUAGACGCCUCUGCAGUAUUUCUGUGAGCUACUUCCAAAGCCAGCAUAUAUGUUGAUUUGACCGUGAAGACGCCGAGCUUCCCCGGCCCCCAUGCAAUCACAUCCUCACCUAAUCUUGGAGAUUCCCGUAUCUUUAAGAUUUCUUCCACAUCAGCUGAUAAGAAGUACUGCUGAAGAAGUACCAAGUUCCAAGAACCAUUAUCAUUUAGCAAGUCGGACACAAAAUGAAUGCGACAUCUUCCCUGCAGCGACAUGGGUUUGUAUGAAAAGGGCCUUGGAAUCCAGUUAUCUGUCCCCUUUGUUGGUAGUCAGAGUCACUAGGACAACUAACUGUGUUAGCAUCUAGAGUUGUAACAAGCCACAGUCCGCCUAUCUUGGUUGCGCAGCGAUGAUGCUACCAUCUCUUACUACAAAGUACAUGCCUUGCACCGGAAACAUCGCAACCAUAUGACAUCUAUCCGAGUGGGCGACCACGUGGUGACCGGGCAUCAGGCCAUGGCUGAGGCUGCCUACAACCACUUCUCCGAUGUGCUCAGAAGUGCCACGGAGCAUGACAUCACGCUUGAUCUCCGCGUUUUGCGUGUUCAACACAAUGCUACUCCGUGCGGUGGACCUAGGCCUUCUUCGACGCCUUACCACUCGGCACGCGGCCUCGAGUAUAUCUCUAUACGCAGACGAUGUUGUCAUCUUUUGUCACCCGGACAGCCAUGACAUUACCACCGUGUGAACCAUCCUGCACAUAUUCGGGCUUCAUACAAACUUCGCCAAGUGUUCUGCCACCCCGAUCCGGUGCGAUGAUGACAACAACAUGAUGAUCACAUCUGAGAUGCAGUUCCCCAUCACAUACCUCGGGUUGCCUCUUUCUGUCUACAAGGCCUCCACGACUAGCUUGCUCCCGAUCAUCGACAAGCUCGGCCAAAAGCUCUCCACUUGGCAUGCUUCCAUGAUGUCCAACGGGCAACGGCGACCGCCUUGCUCUCAUGCAUCACGUACUUAGUCCUAACCCGACAUACUUCCUCACCGCCUUUGCUCUCAACCAAUCCAUCCUCAAGAAAUUCAACCGCAUCAUCUGCGGAUUCCUUUGGGCGGGAGGCACCGAAGGCAAUGGGGGUCAGUGUCGUGUUAACUGACAGCAAGUUUGCCGGCCAAUCUCUCUUGGCGGUCUUAGCAUCAGGGACAUUCAAAGGACCGGCAUCACCCUCCGUGCGUGGUUGCUUUGGUUACAGUGCACCGACCCCUUGCAACCCUGGAGCCACUUACACAUACCUCACGACCCAGACGUGACUGCCAUCUUCAGCGUGUCUACGACCUGGGAUCUUGGGUCCGGCGUCACCUGCAGAUUCUGGUCCGACCACUUGAUAGAGGGUAGAUCCGUGGCUGAGAUCCCCCCAGUCCUCGCCUCGUCCCUCAACGCCGAUGCAAGACUCGCACCGUUCGCGAGGGCCUCCACCUUAGAGCCUGGGUGCAAGAGAUUCAUGGAGCACUCGGACCGACGGCCAUGUUGCAAUAUGUUGAUCUUCAGCGUCGUGUGCGCCACAUUGACCAGAUGGGUCGGAUACACUCAAAUGGCGCUGGACCGCCUCCGCUAUGAAAUGUCUAUGAUGGGAGAAUUUAAAUUCUUCUUAGGUCUUCAAAUUCUUCAACAGCGCAAUGGCAUCUUCAUAUUUCAGGAGAAAUACCUCAAGGAUGUAUUGUGGAAAUUCGGCAUGAAAGAUUGCAAAGGCGUCAAAAUCCCUAUGCCCACAAAUGGCCAUCUAUGCACUGAUGAAAAUGGUAUUGACUUUGAUCAAAAGGUAUACCGCUCCAUGAUUGGUUCUUUAUUGUAUUUAUGUGCAUCUAGGCCAGAUAUUAUGCUUAGUGUUUGCAUGUGUGCCCGAUUUCAACCUACACUGAAGGAAUCACACGAUAAGGCUGUGAAGCAUAUUCUUUGUUAUCUAGCUCACACACACCAACACUUGGAUAUGGUAUCCCAAGGGCUCGGCUUUUGAUCUCAUUGGGUACUCACUCUGACUAUGCUGGUGAUCCUGUGGACCGCAAGUCAACAUCAGGCACAUGCCAUUUCCUCAGACGAUCCUUGGUCUGUUGGUCCUCGAAGAAACAGAACUACGUAUCCUAACACUUGUGCAAAGUUGAUGACUUAGACGUGCAACACACGAAGAAACGUUUUUCUUCAUUCAAUGAAGAUUAACACUCUAAGUGUGAAGAAAUUAACGAAGAAUUUGAUUCUCAGAGCCCUUCAACAAUUGUACAUGGUGUUUGAAAUCAUCAUUCUUAUACGGUGGAUCACGCCACCACCAAAAGUUGAAAAUCUUGAAUUUGAGUUUUUACUCAUUUUUGAAUUUCCUCAGUUGUUCAAAUUCUUCAACUUUUCAAUGUCUUCACUCUUUCCGUUGUUGUUCUUCAUUGGCUAUAUAUAUAUAUAUAGGGUGGGUCUAUUAUGAUAACACCCUUCAAGACCCUUAUUCUGCUAACACCCAGCUUAUUCUGCUAACACUACCUACCUCACCGUAGCUACAGACUAACCCAAAAAAACAACUGGACCGAACUGCUCGCGCAAAGGGAAAACCCAACCGACCUUAUCUUCUCAUACCCACUCCCCCCAAUUCCCUCUCUAUCUCUCCCGCAACCUCCCUUGCACGGACGCCGCCUAACCACCACCUCCCAUGUGCCGCCGCGCUGCGACCUCCUCUGCGCCGCCGCGCCGCGACCUCCUCUGUGCGGCCGAGUCCGCUCCCCGGCGACUCCCGAUCCGCAGCUCCCCCCAUCGCCCCUGCCUUCCUCUGCGCGCCGCCGCUCCAGGUCGCGGCCACUGCGUUCCACCAACAGCAGCACAUCAGUACGGCGGUAGUGCGGCCCCGCUUCCAUUCCUCCAUGGCCGACCCCCUACCUCCCACCUUCUCCCUCCCUCCCCGAUCGACAACCUCCAUCACCGCCCCGGUCAUGUUGCCCCUCCCGACCCCGCGCCGCCGGAUCCGGGCAACCACGCCGGCGUGCCCUUCCACGAGCUUUCCCGUCGUGACCCUACCACGAGCUGCUCCAGCCCGACCCUGCUUCUUCAACAACGGCACGGUGGCAACUCUCCUUAGUUCUCUCCUGCACCGGGUUCGCGAGCUCCGUUCACGGGCUCGCCGGAUCUCGUGAUUGGGGCGCUGGCGACGUGCUCUCCUACUCCACCGCGCCCCUCCUCUACUUCAGCUCAUGUGCCUGUGCCUCUCGUGGACUCAUCGGCGCACAGGCCGCGCUGGAUCCAUGCUAGUUCGAGGCCCCGACGGCCUCCUCUUCCUGCUAAGCCGCCGAGAUCCGUCGGGGUAUCAAGUUGUUUUGUCGGCCCAAUACUCCUUCUACCUUCCCUUGCCGGCGGUCGUGCAACUUCGGUGAACACCGCUACUCGCGCGCGGAUGACGACGGCUUAGUGGCACUGCAGUUCGCUUUGCAGGGGAUCCGUUGAUGCGGCCGUGGAGUUCGGCCCACAGGUGCAUGAAGUUAUCUUGCCCCCCUCCCAUAGUUUACCCUUCCGCAUGAGCCCCAUGCUGUAGUCCAUUGGGAAGAAGCUCGUGGUGCGGAUGCUCAGUGACAGUGCUGGUGCGUUUCAGAUUUUGUUUUUCUGCAAUUUGUAGGCGACGCUGGAGCCUUGCAGUCCAUUGGCUCGGGGGAGAGCAGUGGAGAGGACACACGUGCGUGUAGUUCCCUGUCCAUUGAAAAUGUAGAAGCCCAUCUUGCUGCAGUGUAUGUGAGCAUAUGGCCUGCAAGUGCUGCUCUUUUCCCAGAUUGAAAACAUUGCGGUGUGGUUGGCUGGCCAUCGACGUGCACUUCGCUUUGGGGGGCAGUACGUUCUUUGUGGAUGUGCACUUCGUUUGGCCCGAGCGGCAUGAAGCUCCAUUUGCGCGCAUGUGUGGCUCGGCUAACUAGUUUGUGCAGUUCGCAUGAUACCUUUAUUAUGUGAUGCCUCCCUAGUUGCUGGAGUUCACUUCUUUGUAUUUAUUGAAACAUCAUGUAGUGCACUGUGAAACUCUCUGUUGUUCACUUGUAAAAACAAAUAGCGGUUCCCUUUGUAAAAAAAGUGCAGCCCCUUAGUGGUUCACCUUGUAGAAAAUGAGAAAGAAAUCCCCAUGGGAGGUUCACUUCUUUUUCCAAUGCAUUUUGUUUUGUUUGUGGGAUGAUUGAAAAAAGAAGUUCACUCCACUUGUUUAGUAGCUCAUACCCCUUUGUAUGAAAUGCAAUUUGUUUCGUGUGUCUCAAAAUCAGUCGACUACAUCAACACGUGCAGUGCGUUUGGUUUUUGGAUGUGGUUCAUUUUUUAGAGUGAUGUUGUUCACUUGUGCCGAACAUGAAAGCACAAAAAAAAUUAGCAAAACAAUAAAAAUAGUAAUGCGGUUCACUAUGAUAUAUGAUGUGGUUCGCUUGCUCGCGUCUCUGCGGUCCACUCUUGUUCAUAAAAAAAUUGAAAAAAACCAUCAAAAACUCGUCCGAGAAAAAUUUACAUCCGACAAAGGAAACCAUGAAGUUCACUUGCCUGUCUGAUGCAGUGCGGUUUCAUCCGAUGCAGUGCGGUUUUCUGUCGAAUGACGUUCACUCACCGAUUUGGGUGUCGCAAAAAACAGUGUCCGCAUAUUCGUAAUUUUAAAAUUUCUUUUAAACCGUAAGGAAUUAGAGAGAGUGUUCUACAUGAAAAAGUUGCGUCUCGUCGAUAUCUUUCCAAUGCCAUAUCAUUUGAAUCAUUUUGACAAGCAGUUUGUAAAAGUUUGGCAAAAAACGACUGCUGCCACUCAUCGUCCGCCGCACCAUUUUAAAAAUUAACUUAAAACCGUAGGGAAUCUCGAAACCAUUUCUACAUAUGAAAGUUGCGCCUUGUCCAUAGCUUUCCAACGAUGUAUUACACGCCUCAGUUCGAUAAACGGUUCAAAAACUAGAGUGAAAACAGUAUCGAACAUUGCAAAAAAUUUCAAAAACGUAAUUUCGCGAUUUAGUAAAUUUGAAACUGCUCAAAACCGAAACGAAUUAGAGAAAAUAAUAGGUAUGGAAAAGAUGUGCCUCAACGAUAUCUUUCCAACGGCGUAUCAUUUGCUUUAUUCCGAUGAGCGGUUUUGAAAAAAUCAUGAAAAUACGCUCGCUGCCACUCGUCAUCUGCAGCACCGUUUUUGAAACUGCUCUUAAACCGCGAGGAUCUUGAAAAGUGUUCAACAUGGCAAAGUUGCGCCUAAUCCAUAGCUUCUCCAGGUAUAUUACACGCAUCAUUCUGAUAAAUGGUUAAAAAAUUAGAGCGAAAAAACUACUAAAAAUACUGCAGCACACUUGGUUCAAACAAUGACGUGCACUUGCGUUGAGCGUGCACUUCGGAAGUGUUAUCAGAAUAACUAUUCUGCUAAUAUUAGCAUAAUAGACAGACUGUAUAUAUAUAUACAUCUGGUUACCCUAUGAUGAAUUCAAGCGGUUGAACUGAUGCUUUCUGUUCCUGUUAAAAAUCGUCUUUUUUAGUUCAAAAGUUUUUACAAUUUUUUUAUCAAAAUAGGGCGUGUAAUAUAUCAUUGGAAAGCUCUUGACAUCCACAUUACAAUAUUAUAAUUUUUUUUUGCAAAAAAAUUAAGAUUUACGAGCAGUUUUGAAAAAACCGUUUUUUUUUCAAACUGAAAAUGCGAAUCGUAUUUUGGACUUAAUUUUCAAACGGUUUGUUGGAAUUGAGCAAAUGAGAUGGCAUUGGAAAGCUUGUGAAAAUCCGCAUCUUCUAUAUUUCUACUAUUUUUUCAAAUUCUAUACGAUUUAAAAGUAAUUUGAAAAAGAGUGAAAUUCUGGGUGAAAUGUUUUUUCACUAUUUUUUUGCAAAUGGUUUGUAGGAUUGAUACAAAUGAUAUGGUGUUGGAAAGCUAUGGAAAAUGUGCAAAUUUUGCGUAUAGAAAGUUUUUUCUAAUCCUUACGGUUUAAAUACGAAUUCAAAUACGGUUAAAAUUGAUUUUGAACGUGUUUUUUAAAAAGUUUGUCGAAAUGGGGAAAAUAAUAUACCGUUGGAUAGCUAUCGAAAAUGCAAAACUUAGUCAUGUUGGACGUUUUCUCUACUUCGCAACCGUUUAAGAGUAAUCUUGAAUACGGCAUGACGGAUCCUGCUAUUUUCUCGUCUGAAAAACAGAUUAGUCGUACUGAUAUAUGUGUAUGUUUGUACUGAGCUAUUUUUUGUAGAGUAAUUUUAAAUGGUGCCGAAAAAAUGUACUUAUACUGAUGCUUGCAUGGUUUUGUACUAAACGUGUUUUCACUAACUAGACUUUGCUCUGUUUUUUCGUGAGAACCAUCAUGCUGUUUUUUUGUGAGAAAAAAUAGAGUACUUGUACUGAUCUUCGUGUGUGUUUGUACUAAUGUAUUCUUCAAAGAGUAAUUUUGAAAGGUUACGAAAAAAGAGUACUUGAACUGAUGUCCGUAUGGGGUUGUACUGAGCGUUUUUUCACAGACUAGGCUUUACUCUAUUUUUUUACUGAAAAUUGUUUCAUCAAUUGUUCGCAAAUGAUAGUACGAACUAAGAUAUGUGUUGGUUUGUACUGAGCAUUUGUUUCAUCAUUUGUUCGCAAUUGAUAGUACGAACGGAGCUUUGUUCAUUUUUAUACUGAGCAUUCUUGUCAGUGCCAGGAUCUCCGGAUUUAUGUUGUUUUGUUCUGCGAACUUCCUCAAAAUUUUAUUGGUAAAUCACACCGUUUUUUUUCUUUUGCUAAAUUUUUGUCCUCUGAACUUGUGACCUAUGGAGUUUGUACUGAUAUGAAUCGUUUUGCCGAACCGCCACAAUUUUUUGUGUAUUGAAUCACUAUAUAACUUAGAACCAAAUUGUUUUUCUUAACAUAUAUUUGAAUUGUUUCUAUAUGUACAUUGAAUUGGGGAAGAGUAGCAAUAGUUAUACAUACUUUAUGGAUAGUAAUACAUGAAUUUCUUGGUAAACUGAAGAAUAUACUCUGGACCGUAAUACAUGUCCUCUCGAGUUUGUACUGAUGUGAAUCCUUUUGAACUUGCUCUCGACGGUAAUACAUGACCUCUCGAGUUUGUACUGAUGUGAAUCCAUUCGAACUUACGUGGCUUACAUCAUUGAACGGACUCUAUUCUUCUCACUACCACCAUUGUUUUGUCCAUUUCUUUUUGGACUUGCAUGGCUUACAUCGUUGAACGGGCUUAGGUGGAUAUGUACUAAUGAACUACUAUGAUUUGUAGCUCUCAGGAAAUGUAAUCCUUUCUUUCCCUGUUAUUCUGAAUACCAAACAGCAAAAAAUCAGUUCUCAUAAGCACGAAAAAAUUAUAUAUGUACCCCUAAAUUUUGCAGCUAUUUUGUCCUCUUUCAUUUCGAAAAAAGCAUACAAAAAGCAAAAGCACAAACUAUACAAAAGGUUUUAGACACCAAACUAGUAGAGAAUUAAAAAUAGGCAUCAGGCAGCAACUUGCUAAACAUAGCACGAGUCAUAUACAUAUGCAUUUCAUCCCAUUAUACUUCUCCACCCGCAUGGAAAGUGAGAGAACCUCCCUACAUGCAUAUAUAGGCAUCAAACUCCCUCUGUACCUGAACUAUAUUUUUGUUUGAUAUAUAUUAUGAACUCCUCUCGUCGAUGUACAUGAACCUGCUGUGCAGAGAGAUGAAAUGUAGUACAUCAGUCUAGCUUCAUUCAGCUAGAGAGAAACAUGAAAAAAUGUUCAGUUUUUUAGACGGCUUUCCUCUUUUUCUUUGUCCAAUCUGCGCCACGACUGCCACCAUCCUGCAUGCAAGCUUAAAAUUAAUUGAAGCCACCAAACAUGCACUUUCAUGAGACUUUGCUACUAUAAGUCAGCGAACAUAUCUUUUAGUAUUAAACCAAAGGCACACUUAUUACCCAGCACUCUUGUUCAGUUCAGAGCAUCAUCAAUAAGAUAAAGAUACGAAAACAUUAAGCCAAUAUAGAACAACUGGAUUGAUUUGAUUCAAAUUUUUACUUUCAAUGCAUUGUAGGCAACAGCCGAUCCAAGUCAGAACUGAUGUGAUUUAUUCCAUCGAACUGAUAUGAAAGUUUAUCUAUACUGUUCUGUUUUUUAACACACAUGUUUUGAACUAUUCCCGCUUUUUUCAUUAUGAAUUGAUGACAUAACACAUGUUGAACUGUUACACAAGAGCAAAUUCAGAAAUACAUAACAAUGGUGUACUCAAAAUAUGUGCAUUUUAAGGAACAAAACUUUCUGAACCUUCUAUACGAAAAACUUCAACUAUCAGUCCAAAGAGAUUUGAAGUUAAACAAUCAUUUCCCUUACUGAGUGUUAAGGAAAACGAAACCAGAGAUGACCUCGCCGGCAGUAGGAGUAGCGAUGGCUGCCAAGGCGACGCGUUGGUACAUGUACUAAACAUCUGCUCAAACCUGUUGUAACAUCUACUUCAAGCUUUUUCUAAAUCAUUGUUGGGAGUAGAGGGUUUUAAAAGAAAAUACAGAGUGCCAAAGAAAGAAAGGAACAACCUAUUUAUCUAAAGGACUGUGAUAUUUGGCACACGUGUGCCAUAUAAGGAAAACUGCCACACCUCUAUUUCUUUCAUUUUAAAGUACCAUACGAUCCCUCGUUCUUUGACCCCGCCUCUUCCCAAAUUACCCCGCAGGCUCGCCUGAGAAACCCGCUUCUCCCGCACAUCUCGGGAGCUUACCCCCGAGAAAACUGCCACUUCUUCACGUCUACCACAUGAUCUCUCCUCAGGACAAAGUUACCAUGAUAUUCAUAUGAAAGUUAUUAGGCCUGUGUUGCAUAGCUUACCGUACUAUUUACAUGGAACGUAUCAGGUACUAUGCUUCAACAACUAGACCCUUUCAAAGUUACCACUAUGUUUUGUACACAAGUUAUAAGGUCUUCGAUGUGCAAAAUACCGUGGUACUUACACAUAAGUUAUCAGGGUAUAUGUACAUCAACCUCCCCCCGGUCAAAGUUACCAUGGGGGAUUGUACAUGAGUUACCAGGUCUACGGUUCGUAUAUUAUCAUGGUACUUGCACCUAAAAACCUGGGUGUGUUUCGGUAGCUUUUCUCAUAGGUCAAAAAUUACCAUGAUGUUUUUGCGUAACUUAACAUGCCUAUAGCACGUGUGCCCCUCGUGACACUAAACAUUAUGUGACUUUCUCGUGGCACGCCAUGUGUUGUGUUCAUCCAAGAGGCCCACGCGCGAGGCAAGUGUAUUUUUUUAACAACUUAUAUAUUUUCCUUUGGUAAAAAAGUUAUCAUCAUGUUUAUAUUGCAAGUUAUCGGUUAUGCGGUGCUUAUAUUAUCAUGUUAUUUACACAAAAAUUAUUGGGGAUGUUUUGAACAACUUUUUCCCGAGGUAAAAAGUUAUCAUGGUGAUUCUAGGUAACCUAUCAAGCCCGUAGUGCUUAAAAUAUCAUGCUAUUUACAUAAAAUUUAUCAAGGAUAUGUUUCAGCAACAAAUUCCACCCCCCCAUGGGUCAAAAAUUUAUCAUGGUGUUUAGUUAUCGCAGUGCAUAUGUUUUCAUACUAUUUACACAUAAAAAUGCCAGGGGAGGGAGGUAUACUACCGUGCUAUUUACACAGAAGUUACCGGAGUAUCUUAAAAAAAUUCCCUACGGUCAAAGUUACCAUGGUGCUUCUACCUCCGUUAUUAGAUGUGCGCUGCGUAUAUUACCAUCUAUUUACACAUAAACUAUCAGGUAUCUUUUCACAUUUGUUGUCCCCAAUGGUUAAAGUUACCACGAUGUUUGUAUCUAAAUUAUCAGGUCUAUGGCGUGAAUGUUAUCGUACUAUUUACAGAAAUUACCGGAGGGCGGGUUCAACAAAUUUAUUCACAAUGAUCAAAGUUACCACGAUGCUUGAAACAAAAAGUUGCUAAAGUAUUAAAGGCAAAAACAUGUCAAAAACAGUAUUACCCUUAGAAUGUUCAACAAUGAGUAUCAUAGGUGAGGUGGUUAGCUCCCUUUGUUAAUUACCUGCAGACCAGAGAUCAAAUCCUAGUCUAAGCAUUAUUUUUGCUCAAAAUUGAGAAGGCAUGUGGGGCCAUAAAUGACGAUUACGAAAAUUAGGAAGGCACAAGCGGGAGAGAAUUGAUGACAUUGGAUGCGUGUGGCAGUUUCGCAAUCUGCCACACGGUUGCCAUAUACAUAUUUCGUUAUCUAAAUAGUGUGUGGAAUUGUUUAUAUGGAUGAACAAAACAUUACUUGAAGUAGAGGUUCUGCCAAAAGAAAGAAAGAGCAUCUUGCAGGUUCAAGUUUGAGUAGUUGAGCCAGACAAUUUAUCGUAGGUGUUGUAUGUAAUAAUAAUUUAAUUAUUUUCAUAGGAGUACGACUCAUAGUAUCGGCAUGGAGGUCGUGAACAAAAGCAGAAGUAUCCUUAAUUUUUUAUUAGUGACUGUAAUUUUCCUUAUAAAGAACAUACUACUCUCGUGUAAACCCAUCCCUCUACAUAUGUACUGUCAGUUUUUUGCAAAUCGAACAAAUUGCGUAUGUAGCAAGUGCUAGUAUCUUGAAAUGCAGUUAUGCGUAUGCCCCUAAGAGUAGGUGAAUAGAAAACUCGAACAAAAAAUAGCUUUCUCCUAAUAGUAAUCGUGCUAGAACUCAUUCAAAGCUGAAGUGAACUAUAAUUAUAACCAGCCUUUGUCAAUAGAAGUCCUACUAAUCACAAAUUCCUCUAAUUUCCUCCAGACUCAAGAUCAAGAUGGUGGACAGUGCACGGAUAUUACAAAAUUAACAAUUCACAAUACGAAUUAAGUAUCACAAAUUGCAAGGCACAAGUUUUGAGCACAUACAAUCUUUCAUUGGUAGGCAGCACUACAACUUUGGAGGUCAACACAUUAGGCAAACUCUUUGGAAUUAAGAUAGUGAAAAGUAAAUGUAUGCGAAAGCAAGCUUCCAUUCGGUAAACCAUCAAGCCCAGAUUGCUGCACUCCGAAUUUCCUUUAGACUCAUACGCUACCUUCAGAUCAGCAAGCUUUAUGUUCAGCAAGUGUGUAACAAAACAAGAAUUGAACUGGAAUAGAAUUUGAAAUUUGAACUGAAAUACAAUACGAAAACUAAACUGAGUGUACUUUCAGAUUUUCACAUGGGCAUUAGUGCAUGAAGCAGCAAUGAAAUUGAACUGAAACAAAUUUCAGUUCAGCAAACUUAUAUGAAGUUAUAUGAAGCAUGCUUGAAUGCGUUGACCCGAAGCAUGCUUGUAGGAGAGUAGUGGCACUGGAAGGGAGCCUUUUGCUGAACUUAUAUGAAGUUAUAUGAACUUGUCUAACUUAUAUGGAACUUAUAUGAAGCCUUUUGCUGAACUUAUAUGAAGUUGACCAGACAAGAUGAUACCGGGGCGCAUCAGAAUAUAGGAGAGUGGUGAUGCAAGUCAGUCACCGGCUGGAUAAUGAAGCGGGUGGUAUGCGGCAUGGAGACAACCAGAAAAUGGGACAUCCAGGGGUAGGGAGCGUCGUCGCUGAAGAUCAGAGAGUGUGGAGCGCAGGCGUGCGGUGUCCCCCGGCCGGCAACGGAGACGAAGGAGAUCGGGGAUAGUGCACUUUUUUCGUCAGCCUGCAAGAUGCUCAAGGACCAGGACAACAUGUAGUUUCAGAAUUACAGAUUGUGGUCAGCUAUAGGAUGUUUCUGGGACCAUGUUUUAGCUACGAGAGAGCAACAACAUCACAUCAUGAGAGAGAGGAUGCAGCAUCAAAAAUUCAGGAGAAAGAUCAGAGCAGAGCAGAAGUAAAUAUGUUUUGAGGAGAUGAACUGACCAGGAUUUAAAUGAACUCUCACUAGCAGUAAUUUUUGUACUUCGCAUGUAGUACUACAUGGACUUGCUGUAAAAUACAUGGACCAUGUAGUAAUUUUGAAGUUAAUUAUAUGAUCAUCUCAGGGAGCUCAAGUUGUACUGAAAGCUCAAGUUGGACUGAAACUCACUCGAUAACUAAAACUCCUAGGGCGAGGGGUGGGAUCCAGGGUGCUGCUAGCAAUGAAUGGCCUGGGGUGGUGGCGUUGAACGGCCUGGAGUGGUGGCUGUGAACAGCCAGGGUGCUCCGGCGGCAGAGCCCCACCGGAGAUGGUGAUGCAAGCAGGAGGUCGGGAAGCAGUGGUGCCGGUGGUCGGGGUUGUCCAAUGCACACGGCACACCAGUACAGGAAGUUGAUUCAUCACCCAUCCACAGUUUUUUUCCUUUUGGGAAUCCAUUGAACUGAAAAAAGCUACAUGUGAGCUGAAAGUAUGAAAAUAACACAUCUUUGAAAGAAUAAAGAACUAGCUUUAACUUAUCUAUGAAAGAAUACACCUCCGAGGAACUAGCUUUGAACAUAUCUCUGAAAGAAUAGAGAGCAUGCAAAGUUCAAGGAAAGAAUAAGCAAAAUGGCACACUAGUACGCAGUAGUACGAGUCCAGUCAUGUACGUGCUAGUAUUAGAUUUGAAUAGUAGCUAGAAUUGAAGUUCAGGUAACCAUGGCACACACAUCAUACAGUUUUAGUCAUGUAUGCACACACACUGUAAUAGUAGCUGCAAUUAAAGUUCAAAUAACCACGGCACCCAUAACAGAACAAGAAUCAGUCUAGCAGCUAGGCAAGCAAGCUUCAUCAGCAUGAAUACACAUCAGCGGCAAGCUAGAACACGCUAGUAGGCUGUAGAAGUCUCCUUGUAAUUUUUCAAACAGAAGUGCUUUAGUUCAGUUCAGUAGUAAGGCAUGGAAAAAGAAAAGCAAUGGAAUAAACUAUAACCGAGCCAAAUAUGUAAUUUCAACAACCUAGACCUCAUUGCUUGACUUCAGUAGUAAUACAUGAUCAUCAGUUCAAUAUAAACAGACUGAUGUUAACAUCAUCGUACAUCCAUUGCCGGUUCAUCUGCGUGCAUUAUAUAUAAUUAAGUGUGUCAAAAACCAUUACAGAAUAGCAUGAAUACAAAAGACCAAAUUAAUAGAAGUUCAUCAUCACAUUAAAACCAAAGUACAGUAGUGAUCAAAUGUUGUUACUGAAAAAAUAAAUACAUAAAGUUCAUACAUAUAUAGUUCUCAUUGAACAACAUAUAUAUAGCUCUCUAGAGCAUCUAAUUAAACCAUACAUUGAAACAAUGUAAAAACAUUUCAAUGCAACAACAAAUGCGAUCAUAAUCGCAACUAAGGUAACAAUUGAUCCAACGGCAUAAUGAUGCCAAGCCUCGGUAUGAAUGGCAUAUUUUCUAAUCUUUCUAAUCUUCAAGCGCAUUGCAUCCAUCUUGAUCUUGUGAUCAUUGACGACAUCCGCAACAUGCAACUCCAAUCCCAUCUUCUCCUCCUUAAUUCUUUUCAAUUUUUUCUUCAGGUAAUUGUUUUCUUCUUCAACUAAAUUUAACCUCUCAACAAUAGGGUCGGUUGGAAUUUCCGGUUCACAUACCUCCUUGAUGAAAACAUCUAUGUCAUGUUGGUCGGCAUAAUUUUCAUACACACUAAAUGAACAAAAUAGUUAUAAAAUAUAAUAUAUACCACAUCGGAAUCAUAGACAGGACGAGGGCCGACGGAGGCGGAUACCAAAACCAUCGCACUAUAUGAUAACAAAAAAUAAUAAAAGUAAUAAAAUUAUACAAGUAUCUAUCUAAAUCAUACAAGUAAGAACUUUUUUCUUUUAGAAGAUAAGAACAAGAGGCUCACCACGGUGGUGCCAGCGACGAGAUCGGCGCGGGCGAUCGACAGCGGUGAGGACGGGGACGGGACAGGAUGGACCGCCAAACCUAGACAAAUCUUAAGGAAAAUGGAGUUUGGACAAGGAGCUUCGAGAGGAGAAAGCUUAAGUAUGUCUCGGACAUUUCACCGAACACCUCAUGUGCAUAGGAGGUGAGCUAGAGCACCACAAAGCUCUCCCACGGCCGGCCAAAAAAUAGAGCAAUGCACUGCUCUGCUCGCGGGCAGGGGGAUAUAUAGGCCUCUCUUUAGUCCCGAUUUGUGGCUAGAACCGGGACUAAAGGACCCCAUUUGGUCCCGAUUCCAACCACCAACCGGGAUUAAAGGUUGUGGGCCAGGAGCGAGGCCCAUUUGUCCUGGUUCGUGUCUGGAAGCGUGACCAAAGGGGUCAGACGAAUCGGGACCAAUGGCCCCCGAGGCCCUGCUGACGCCCUGGCUUUAUGAACCGAGAUUGAUGCACCCAUUAGUCUCGGUUCAUAGGGAAACCGGGAUUAAUGCCCUUUUCAGACCUGGACCAAAGCCCUAUUUUCUACUAGUGUUGUAGGCCUCGCUCACAUGAAGUAAGAACGGUCGGUGACGAUGCCUCAUAAAUCCAUGUGGUGCAAUCAUAGUUGGUGGUGCAGGGGAGGAAGUAACCUUCUUUGAUGGGGAUUCCAUCGCACGCUUGUUCGUCAUGUAGACGCGUCCUCUUAAUUUCUGUUCAGCUUUACAGGCAAGACGAAACAAAUGAUCGAUAGAAUAUAGUCUUCAUGCAUUAUUAUGUCUUGUAUAUCAUGGUUUAAACCUUUCCAAAAUCGAUUCAGAAAAUCUUCUUCGCAUUCUUGUAAGCCAGAACGAAACAAAGCAAUACACAAAUUGUCAUAAUAUUCUUCAACAAUGAUAUUGUCUUGUUCUAAACGUUUUAAUUUUCAAAGCAAAUCACUGGCAUGAUAUGAAGAACAAAUCGGUCUCGCAUAACAAGUUUUAAAUCUUUCCAAGUAGAAGGCCUAUUAUCAAUAUUUUUCCUGCAAUAAUUUCUCCACCAAACUGAAGCAAAACCUAAAAACAUCUUAGUGACAACAUUUAUUUUCUUAUGCUUGGGAAGUUCAUGGCUAGCAAAUAUUUCUUCUACCUCAAUUUCCCAAUCAAUAUAUGAAUCAGGGUCAUAUUUACCCUUAAAAUUUGGCAAAGAGGUAACAUGAUGAUGUGUGUUUCUACCAUGAUGUAUAUCAUGUGACGAUCGUCGUACCUUUUGUGGUGGGAAAGAGUGAUCUUUAUCAAUAUAUGGCAAGUCAUCUCCCACAAUAGAUGCACCCCAACUGUCAACCGCUCUAGAAUCUGCCAUGGUUAGUACCACACAAAAACAAAAAUAAUAAGUAUAAUGUUUCUAUAGUACUACUUGGAGGUGGCAGAAAAAUUCUCUCAACACUCUAGCAAUUACCAAGCUCUUACCAGAUCUUACCGUGCUGCAGUGGUUGUCGGCCUUUGGCGCCUUCAAAAGUUAUCAAAGUUGGAUAUAGUGAUUGCCAAAUCACCGAACAAGGUACAAUAUAGAAAGUGGAGCUUGGUGAAGGUUUUCUCAACUCACAAUAUCGGUGGCACAAUUUUGCUAAAAGUAAUGCAAGAUGAAUAAUUGCUCAAACUCCUAACUAGUGCUGAUAGUCGACUAGUAAGAGAUAAAAUAAUCUAAGCCCAGAUACUGAAUCAAGCGAGAGGGAACUGACGAAAAUAUAAUAGCUCCAAGUAGCUAGAUAUAAGUGAGGUAUGAACGUAGUGUAUGGCAACCAAGAGCAGACAAAAAAAUCCAACACUUAUCACUUAUAUGAAUAGAGCAGGCUGAACAGCAAAAGAGAUUUUUCAAAAGAUGCUAGCUGGCCAAAACUUUGCAUCAAAUUUUUUUAUUCUUUUUUCUGAAUUUUCCUUUUUCUUCAACUUUCAGGCCGGCCGCUAGUAGAAGUCACGGACACAAAUAUCUGACCAAACAGGUAUGAAGGGGUGGCCGGGGCACAUCUGGUGUAGCCCAUUGGCGCUGUCCAGCGGUAAAAGAUCUCAUGCCAUUGCUGAAAUUCACGUCCCCCACCCAGGGCAUUUUGGUCAUUUUGCAUCUAUGCCCUUUUCCGAUUCGCUGCAUCCUCCCCCAAUGAGUGCCUCCCUCAUUUUUCUAUCCCUCACAUCUCUCUCGGGAGAGAGUCGCUGCCGCUAGUCAUCCUCCCCGUCUGCCGCCGCUGCCGCCAACCAUCCGCAGCCGCGCCACCAUCCCCUCCCCGUUCCUCUCCCGUAGCUGAGCCAGCCAUGGCCAGGAAGAAGUGCAAGUCCUCUUCCUUCCUCCCUCACCCCUGAUCUGAAUCCUCUCCCGGAACCCCAGCCAGCCGCACGCAUCCCAUAUGGCGCCGCCCAGCUCGCAGCCCUCGGCCGCCGAGCCAUCGCGAGGCUCCUCGCGCAAGCGCACGACCUCCUCAAAGGCUGCGCCCGAGGCCGACCUGGAGUUCACCGUCACCAAGGAAAGGUAAGGGGAGGGGAGGGGAUGGAAGGGAUCGAGCGACCAGGUGAGGAAGCGCCCAGAUCCACAGGGCCAUCGACACUUCGUCAUCGACCUCAUCCGCGACCGUCCUCGAGGUCGGCCAUGGUGGUCCGGCCGGCAACAGCCAUGGAAGGAGAGGCCCGAAUCCCUGGCCCUCCAAGUACGCGCCUGCUGCAGGCCAUCUCCGGCGAGCUCAUCCACAGAUCUCCAACUAUGGUGCGUGCGCAUGAUACCUAAACCCCUUGUCUUGUCGGUUUCUUCAUCUUCCCUCCUUGUGAUUCCUUGGUUUGUUUUGUGCGCAGUUGCUCCGAUCUGGAAGAGGUGGUGGAGCUUUUGUUGUUGCUGCUGUAGGUGGACGAGGCACCACCCUCUCUUUCUACUUCUGGACACAACCUGGUGGUGAUUGCAAAUUUCAGUGUUAAAAAAUUCAGUUCAAUUCAGUCAUGUUCUUUUUCUUUUGUGGGGAAAUUCAGUCACAUUCAAUGUUCAACUUUUAGAGUUAACAAACUGUUGUUAUGACCACUAUGGUUUAGAUGUUCAGAAAUUCAGACAAAUGGUAUGAUGAAAUGAGCCACCUUUUAACCCCCUACUAAACCUACCGUGAACGUGAGAGAGCCAAUGCAGGGAGGUGUGGACAUUUUACCAUGUUCAUAGGAAGAAAUCAACAUAAAAUACACAGCUUGUAGAUGAUUCGUCAACCACCAUCAAACACGACUUGUAACUUUCUGGACUAAACUGAACCGUGCAAUUGACUCAAAAUAAAACUAAACCGUGCAAUUGACUCAAAAAUAAAUAGUAAAUAUACUUUGGUUGUGUCUGCAGAAUUGCAUUAUGGAAAGAUGUGUGUGAGGUUACCCCAUCGCCACUGGUUCCAACUUUGUCCAUCAUGUCGCUCUGAUGAGAAGACCUUGUCCAUGUUUCAUUAAUAGGGCAGAGUGCUGCUGAAGUAUCUAUGUUGAACAAUUAUAACAGUACCAAGUAAGUUUGCUCCAAUUGCAUUUGAUGCAGAAGGCACAACACCGCCAUCAUGCGUCAGGUUCAGUAGAAGGCACGACACCGCCACGCUCUCCUCCACUACAAUGCCAUGCACCCGGUAAUUAAACAUGCUUUCUCUUCAUUCNNNNNNNNNNNNNNNNNNNNNNNNNNNNNNNNNNNNNNNNNNNNNNNNNNNNNNNNNNNNNNNNNNNNNNNNNNNNNNNNNNNNNNNNNNNNNNNNNNNNNNNNNNNNNNNNNNNNNNNNNNNNNNNNNNNNNNNNNNNNNNNNNNNNNNNNNNNNNNNNNNNNNNNNNNNNNNNNNNNNNNNNNNNNNNNNNNNNNNNNNNNNNNNNNNNNNNNNNNNNNNNNNNNNNNNNNNNNNNNNNNNNNNNNNNNNNNNNNNNNNNNNNNNNNNNNNNNCAAGAUCUCAAAGAGGUGCCGGCGAACCCAGGCCACACCCAACGCGCUGGGGGGCUGUUGGGGGCGCCAGCGGAAGCAACAGCCAAUCAUAUUCCUCCAUGUAUCAUUUUUUCUGGUCCACUCAUUCACUUUUUGCCUGGCGACUGUCCUGGGGGCACCAACGGCUGGGAAACCGUCCUUGUGUUUCAUUCGGCGAAGGUGUUUUGCCCCCCAGGACGUGCUAUAUUUGGCCCGACGAUUGUCCUGGGGGCUCCAACGGUUGGAGAUGCUCUAAUUCAUUGUAUUUGCAUGUUUCCAGCAGCCAUGUAUCAAAAAAAGCUUCAGCUUUGGGUUGUUGAUUUAGCAGCAUCAAUCAUUAAUUGUUCUGCUAUAUAUGUUCUUAACCAUGACAACCUGAUUAGGCUCUUAGUUUAUUAUGGUCUUUGUUCUGGGUGGAUCUCUGACUAUUCUGGGUGGGCAUGAAUCUCUUCUUUGUUUCUUCAUCUCCUCUUAUUCUGAUUCCUGCAUUUGUUUUAUGUGAAGGUUGCUCCGCUGAGGACAAGCUGCUUCUGCAGGUGGACGGGCCCUCAAGGCUGCUCUGCCUAUUCCUCCUGCUACCCCCACACGUGGUGAGCCCCAUCCGUUCUCGAGCUACCCCUGCAAAUCUGAUGUGAUGUGCACAAAAUACUUGCAAUUGUUCUCGACACAGGAGCAUGUCAUGUAUUGUUCUAUUUGAAUGUGCAAUUUCAUUGCUUCUGUGAUGUUUGAUGCUUGCUUCACAAGAGGGAAAUCAUGGAUAUAAACUGUGCUUCCUUUCAAGUUGAAUAGUAAUGAUCACCAUUUGGUUCCAUUUUCUCCUCUGCAUCCAGUGUUCACUCUCUCAUAGAUGUCCAUAUAUACAUAGUUCUGAUCUCCUUUUUUCUGCGGCUCCAUACAGCAAACACAAAGCCGUCGAUGCAUUGAGGGCUCAAUGUCGUCUCCGCCGGCUGAGCGGCAAGCCGGGGUUGGGCCUGCACACCGUCUAUCAGCACCCUCCCGUGUCUCCAUUCACGGAUCUGCAGGUCAACCCCUCUUCUCCUCCUAUCCACGCAUCUUCUUUUCCAGAGCUAGGUGUAUGGUUGCAUGGCAAUUUGUGUUUAGGGGCUCACCAUGUUCUGCUUGCCCUGGUUGGCCAAUGAGGCUUUCCUUUUCUUGUAAAGGCCAAAUGUACAAUUCUCUAUGCUUUAUAUUUUUGUAGUUCCUUUGUUUCCAUGCUAGUUUUUUGAUGGGGUGUAAAUAUAUGCUUUUUUGUUCCUUGUCUGGAUUCAGGUAGGGCCUAACAUUAUUGUUCCUUUGUGCAUGGAAAUGUUGGUGGUUUUGUUCCUUUGUGUAUGGAAGGGGGCCUUGAUUAGAAUUUUUAACGUUUGAGUUGUAAUUAGUGUUUUUGUUACACAUGAAAACAUAUGGUUGUUUGUCCAAUCACAUAUGAAAAAGAGAUGAUUGUUUGUCCAACAAUUUUCUUUCUCUGUGAUAGUUUUACUAGAAAUAAAGCAUAGUCACUAUUACAUCCUAUUUUAUAUCUUGUUGUGUCGUGAUAUCUAUAUAGACUCUGUCUACGUCCUUUUGACAUUCCAAGUUUUGUUUUUCUAUGGCUCAAUUAGUUACCCCGUAUCAAGAGAAAUUUAACUGGUAUUUGCGGUAGAGUUAGCUGAAUUCAUGAAGCAAUGAUUUAGUUAUUAUUAAAGCUGAAACACAACAUGUUUUGACAAAUGCGUUCUAAGUAAAGCCUCCAACUAACAUAACCAAAAACAUAUUCUUUAGGUUUAUCAUCUAUUGAAGUAUUAUGUAGAAUUUUAAAUCAUACGAGGCAAAGCAAAUGAGCUCUAUGCACUUUCCAUGUAGCACAAAACAAAAAUAAUCAUGUAUAUUUUGGAUGCACCUAGAUAUACUCAUCAGCAAGGCUGAGGUUAUAGGGCAGGGCACUCACCCACAUUGUCGACAUCUCCGUCACUAUGAUCACCCACAUGAUGGACAAUUCCCUUCUUUCUUUUCUCUGUGGCUAUUGACACUUAAUGCUAUUACUGUGUGCAUAUAUGUACUGUGAUCCAUUCUCAUUCUUCAUAUCUUGAGAAACUAUCUCAAGAUACUCGCAUUUGUGUUUUGAAGAAAGCCUAUUCUAUGAUUAAUAUAUCAAGUAUGGAUGGCGCGAUAUCACCUCUCUUUAUGAUGAUGUUCUUACAGAAUAUAGGUUUUAUGGUAACACGUCUUAGCCAACACCUAUACUGAUGCUCAGACCAGAUGAUUAUAGGCUCUCCUUGCUAUUUUUCUUGAGGUGUGUACAUCUAUCUAGACAAUUUAAUUAAAAUAUAUAUUCCAUACAAACCAUCAAUACAUGUUAGUUGACUUUGAAACUAAUCAGUAAAAAGGUUGUCCCUUUCGCAUUUUAUGGACAUAAAGAUUUGGUGUUGACUGUCGAUCUUUAGUUAACACAUGACCUUACAACCGUAGGGAGUGGGAAAAAACUUAUAUGUUUGGCACAUUUGAAGAACAUAUCAUAGUAACGAAGUUUUGGUAAACAAUGUCCUAGAUCUCAACCAUAUAGAAAUACUAAAUAUAUGUUUAUUUGUAUAUGGAUUAAUUAUACAGACUUAUAAAACCUUGUGCAGGGCACAUAAAAGAAAUUUGAAAUAACUAUUAUUUCAAUAUUUGCUUUUUCAGUUGAGCAUAAUAGUUUAUAGCCUGAUAGGCUUGGACAUAAUUGUCUACAUGUACUGCUCAGUAGGCGACAUCCUUUGGGAAAUUGAGGAUGUCCUCGUGCAUUUUCUAAAUACAAUUGGGGCAUAUCUGAGGAAUGAAGGGAGGAAUAAUCUCGUGGGAGAGUUCGGUGCAGAGGAAGAAGAACAAGAUAUUAUUUAUUUCUUGUGUACAGUCAAGCUUGUGCAUUGUCCCACUGUAAGUUAUUUCAACAAUAGUAGUAACUGUUAUCUCUGGCCAUCUGUUGCGACAUUUUCUUUAACCACCAAUGCAUAUUUAUUUUCUUGUUAAUAACUCUCAUAAUUGCCUGCUACUGUUUCAGUUCUGGGGCCAGGCAACCUUGAAUCCAACGUCCACCUGCAGGCUACAUCUCAGGUAGGAUAAAAAGAUUGCAGUGAACUUGAUGGGUAUAUCAUUAUUGUUGCCUCCUAAUUUGUGUGAUGAGCAAAUGUGUAGAUUGUGUGUAAAUCCGAGAUGCCUAAAACGGUUGGGAACUGAACUUGUUACCUCGGUUCACUUUAAUGGCAUGUUAAACUCGAUGCACUUUCUGGACUGUGACAUUUUUCCUGAAAUUUUGGAAGUGACUGCUAAUGUAGUCUAAAUAGAGUGACUGAGUAGUUACUUUCUCACAAGAGUUGACUUCCCGUUAUUGGAGUACUUGCUAAGAUGGAUUGGUGGUUUUUAUGUUAGAUGAAAAAUAUUACAUCAAUCUUUACGGCUUUUUAUGGGCAAGUGAUUCCGACUCCAUAAUAAGGAAUAAUAUAGCCCUAGUGCUGUGAUAAUGUUAAAACAUUUACCUCUUUUAUCGGUUCAUGUUAUGUAUUUGCUGCGAAAAAAUGGUCUUAUAUCAAAUAAUAGCCUAGAGCUUUUGGAGUGUUAUUACUUGUAUUUGUUGCUUGGAUGUAUAAACCUUCAACAGACUGUCAAUUUUGCUUUUAUAUAAUCUGUUUGUUUAAGUCUGCUGCAUAUUGGUCAAAAGCUCAUGCUAAUUGAUGAUGUUAGGUGAUGAUCUUGUAUCUAACAGUGAUUUCUGAAUGCAUGCUAAAGAAAACUCAUGAACAUCAUGGCGCCUUGUUGAUGGGGUGAUCAAUAGCUACUAUAUUGGGACCCUGAACUUAAAUUGUAGGUCUGAUUUUGUUUCGGAGUUCUCCUGCUACCCACAAGCUUAGAUAGUUCUUUUGUUUGUGCAGGGGAAAUUGCAAAGCAUAUUAUGAAUUGUUACAAGAAACUAUUUCUGCUGUUUUGGUGCAAGGACGUUGCUUUUUAGUAUGCUUCCCGUAUCUUGGUAUCUUGGAAUAAUAAACAGAUAGAUGUCGUGUACCAAGAUUGUUCCUUGUUGUUAAGAGGGAUACAAAUAUUAUACAAGAUUUUUUCUGAUGACUCCUAAAGCAUAUUUGGAUAUACAGCAAAGUAUAUUGUCGCUUCCCUGUUAGUAAAACGAUUAUUUUAGAAAUUUGGUUGGCAGCCCCUACAUUUGGCUGAUUGCUAGCUUACUGGAUUACUCAUGUUUGCGGACUCUGGUAACUUAUGCCUACCAAGAACUACAUGAAUUUUGUGUCUUGCUGCAGUGAACAUUACCAAACUAAUUCUAGAGGUGUUAUAAUCAUGUUUUCUUUUGCAUUAUCAACUUUUAACUUUUGUCAUUUGUUAACACAUUCCUUUUGCAUUAUCAACUUUUAACUAUUGUCAUUUGUUAACACGAUUAUUUAGUAUGUUCACUAUGCGAGUACUCCCUCCGUCUGAAAAUACUUGUCAUCAAAAUAGAUAAAAAGGAAUGUAUCUAGAACUAAUAUACAUCUAAAUACAUCCCCUUUUAUUCAUUUCGGUGACAAGUAUUUCCGGACGGAGGGAGUAGUAAUAAUAGGAGCUAUUUAUUUGCCAGAUAACUAACACUAUUCAUAUGGCAUAAGGGUUAGAAAAAGAACUGUAUUCUUGCUGUGUUGAUUUUCGUAUGGCACACUAUGGAUUCUUUGUGUAACACAUAAUGUCGAUCAACAUGUGUUUACAACGCAGGGAGGAGCCGGGCGACAAGGCAGUCAGACCAAACUCUCUUUCCAUAUAUAUAGGUAGUCUGAUGUUAUGCCAUAGCCGAACCAUAUAUGUUUCGUGUACUGCUCUAUCAAUCUGGUCUUUUGGUAUAUUAGACUCUAUCCUUUGUAAUGAACUUAUUGUCAUGGGCGAUCAUUAUGACUGGAUCGUAUGGUAUGAAUCGGGUCUUUAUGCUUUGUGAUGAAAUAUCAUAUUAUCCUGUUCACCAGUUUGGUUUGGUUUUGAGCUAAAACGUAUAAAAAUACAUGGCUUACAACAAUGGAUAUAUGUGAUGAUAUAUUGAGUGAUUAAGCAUAAUUUUAGACUUUCGGUGCUGGACCAAUGGGAUGCAUGGGGUAAUUGAAUGUUUCUUCUUCACUUUUUAUUAUCGGUUGGGAUCAGCACUCUCGCGCGAUCUAGUUAUGAUGAUGCUGCCUAUACAAAGCAAAUCUAUGUGGCUAUAAAGUGGAGCACCAUGGCGAACAAGAAACUGGCGCUUGAGGACAGACAUGAGUGGAACUGAUGUCUGAUGCAACACGGCGUUGCUGUACGCGUCAGGGCAGACAGCAACGACGUGUAACAGAUGGGAUGUCGGAUUGCACGCAAAACAAAGGAAUCCAAUGCAAUUUUGAUAGUUUUUUUUUCAGAUUAUGGACGAGCUUGCGGCGGAAACCAUGGUGGAGAAAAAAAAGUUCGAUCUAGUAGACAAAAAUUUCUCAUACAAAUCUAAACCAGCACUAUUUGUAGGAUGAUGCAACCAAAAAUUCAACUACGCAAGUACUAGAUGCAAAAAUUGCUAACGGCUAAAAAGAUAGGUGCAAAGGAUGAACUAAUCUUUCUUUCUUUUUUGGCUUUUUUUGGGUUAUAGGACAUGAAAAAUAAGCUAAUCUAACAAAACUGUAAAUCUCUCACCGCUGAAAGUGAAAACUGAUACCACUUAUGUGACGGCGGCCCGAUGUUUCGAUGAGAGUGAGGAUAACUAUCAAUUUGAUGGAUUCUGAUCUUGACGCUCCGGCUAUACAAUACCCGACGAUAUGCCUCGACAAUCGCUAAACCAAUCUCCGAUGGUUAUUGACCUUGCCGUAGGCACGGUCAACCUGAACGACGAGGUUUGAGUUCCUGCAAGUAACUAAAGAACCGGCAAGAACAAAGGUGAAUUGCAAUCUGAAAUUGCGAAUGAAAAAUUAAGCACAUGAACUAGAUCAAAAGUUGGAGUUCCACUUUGGAUCUGACAAGGCGGUAGUCCUACACGUCUCAUAGAUGCGAAACUGUAGCAUGGCUAAACAAUACAAUAAAACCCGCGUAAACCCUAGAAUAUGAUGACUAUUUAUUAAAGGCCGGCGUGGAGAAUGCUUCGUCUAUUUUCUUGGAAGUCAAGACGGGCCUGCUAAUUGGCCGGACACACACGCGAUCUGAUUUGAAAAUAAACUUCUCAUAUCAAUCUGGUGGCAAACUGCCUCAUCGGUACUAUAGGCCCAGAUGCGCAACACACAAGGCCAUGCAUGGGCGCAAAACCUAUACGACGCCCUCAGCGUCCGAUACCAUGUUAACGGUACAGGGCACAGAACGUCGUGAGACAGUUCGGUCCAUAUCCGGUGUGGGCAUUAGAGCAUUGAGAGGACCUUUCCCUAGUACGAGAGGACUGGGAAGGACGCACUUCUGGUGUAUCAGUACACCCCCUUGUCACGAUGGGCCGGCCCACAUUCCUUUUUUUCUAUAUUAAAGACGCCGAAAAAACUGAAUGUAAGCACCAUGAUUCAAACCGGCAAUCGACUGGUUCAACACACACCACCUAACCAAUAGGCUACAUGUUGUUGACGUGGUUAGUUAUAGCUUUUCCUUCUUUUCUUCUUUGUACCUUCUUUUUUGUUUUUUUGUUCGAACGGUUUUGUUAGUUUUUAUUAUUUUCCAUCUUAAUUUUUUUCAAUAAUACAACAUUUUUCGUUUCAAUUUCGUGAACUUUUUUAAAAUUCGAUAUUUUUUUUCAAAAUUCAAUGAACUUAUUUUCAAAUUCGAUGAACUUUUUACAAAUUGGAUGAACUUUUUUCAAAUUUGAUGAACCUUUUUUUAAACUCGAUGUUUGUUUUCAAAUUUGCCAACUUUUUUGAAAAUUCAUGUACAAUUAUGAAUUCAUGAAUUUUUUGAUAUUUUUUUAAUUUUGCAAAUUUCCCCUUUUUAGUUUUUUUAAAUAGCAAUGGUUUUUUCGACAAGUGCUUGCAAGAGAAAAAAGGCUAGCAAAGGAGCGAGCAGCGACCGAUUGAGCCAGCAGCAGCGGUCGAGCGAGUAGUCGAGCGAUUAGCAAUCGAGCGAGCAGCGAUCGAGCGAGCCAGCAGCAGCGGCCGAGCGAGCAGUUGAGCGAUUAGCGAUCGAGCGAACAAAUGCAUGUUGAUUCAAUAAUGCUCAAGUGUAAAUAUUCUGUAUUAAACUUCGCAUCUUCACCCGAGGUUUGUGCAUCUCUUCUUUAAUCCUGCAUAUAAAAUAUUGUGUUGUAUUUUUGUUUCGGAUAACAAAAUAAUAAUUCAUAUAAUUUCUAUUAGAAUUCACCUGAUAAUUAUCUUUACGCGCAAUAAUUGUGGUUAUAUCCGUACGGGUCAUGUUUAUAUCAGGUAGUUAAUCUUCUUUUUCUUAUCCGCAAGACACUUCUUCACAUGCUCAUCCAAGAGGGUUUCGGCUGCCAACAUGAUCAUCGCAUCCACCACGUCCUGUGAGAUUCGCAACCUCUCCUUCUCAAGCUCUAUGUCGCCAAAUGUCUUGGCCUUCUCGAGUUCCCAUUUGAUCGCCACCCCUUGGUGGUCCACCAUGUCCGAACCUCCUUGCGCCGCCGCCGCCUCCCUCUCUCGCUGCAGGCGUUGCCGCAACUUCUGGGCGGCGUCCUCCGCCUUGCAAGUCAGAGCCGACGAAGGGACGCCGACGGACAAGGCGGACGGCGUCUUUGUCGCGGUGGUGGAUCGGGACCGGUGGUGAGGAUUGGGAGCAAGGGUGGAGGACGGCGAGGGUUCGGGCGCGGGAAAAGUUGGAGGGCGGCGGGAGGAGGAGAAAGGGUUUGGUGCAUUUGGCACAAUUUUCAAUGGGGUCGGGCUGACGGGUCCGACGUGGCGGGCGCGCCCGGGCGCCCCAUAUUUGGGCUAGAUAUGAGGGGUGCCGGUCAGCCCAGGCGUUCGAGGCCCGUUUAAGGAGCCCGUCUGGAUCGAAAAAUCGUGACCGGGUGGCCCACCCGGGUGUAUGAGCCAGGCUUGAGGUGCCCGACUGUAGAUGCUCUAAUCAUCUAGAUCUGACGCUCAAAGGCUCCACCCUCCCCCACGACUUGGGUUCGAGCGCCUCCCCAAAACUUCGUCGGGAUCCGCCACAACCGGCAACGGCGAGGCCAGAGGUGGCCGGAUCCGGCACAGGUUGGUCUCUCCCCUCCUUCUUCGCCCACCCUCUCCUCCUUACCUCACGCCACUUGUCUUCCCUUUUUUGCAGGUCGCCAUGGCGCGGACGGCGAUGACGGCAGGAGGGGCACACACAUCCGUGGAAUGGGACGCCGCCAUGGAGAUGGAGAUCCUUCUUCACACCACGCAGAGGCCCCAUGGAGCCUCCCUCCUUCUUCGGUGACUUCUUCUCAGGCCCCACCACUACCUCUGCCCUCCCCCCUCCUCUACUUUGAGUUGCACCAUGCUUUGUUUCAGAUUCAUCCACCCAUGGGUGAUACAUGGGAAGUUAGGGGUUGCUGCAGUUUGAGGUUAAUCCCUUGAUUGGCUGUUGUUUCGGGUUGAUUAGAUUAGUUAGCUCAGUUGGCUGCUAGACUUUAGGAGUGCAUACAUGGGUAUAACAUGCUCUGCACAUUUAGGAUUGAAGUAUUGUGUUGCAGCACUCAGUGACGUUAAUUUAGGGCAUUUCAGUGUCAGUUCCACUAUAUUUCGGGGGACAUUUAACAGUGCAAUUUCAUGGUUAUUACAGUGUAAUUUCAAGGUUCUUGCAUUCUAAGUUCAGAGAAUUACAAUGUUAGUUUAUGUGAAUUCCCGUGCAUUUUACUGUGUAAUUUAAGUGCAAUGGAAAUUAUAGUGUAAAUUCAGUGUAAUUUACUAUGUAAAUUUACGGAAAUUACACUGUAAUUCGUGUGCAACUUUUAGUGUAAUUUACACUAUAAUUUCAACGGGUUUACAGUAGAGUAAUUUAAGUGUAAUUACAGUGUGCACUUUAGAGCAAUCAUACUAUAUAUUUAGUGAAUUUAAAGUAUCACUCCAUACCUUUCGGGUUUGUCUUUUUUCUCUACAAGUUACUGCUAUACUGUUGAUUGAUUCUACCCUUGCGAAAGAAACUUUGAUGAGCACAUAAUUUUCUACUAUGUAAUUUGAGCAGCUUGGUAACCGUAAUUUUCAGUUUCCUUUGACCCUAGGCCCUUGUGCUUUAGAAUUGCUAUUUUUUGUCAGUGUACAUGCUAGAUCAUGUGGUUUAUGAUACUUCUCUGGUCCUUAUAAACAAAGUGACAUGUUUGUACUGUGGAAUAGAAAGAAUAUUUCAGUGUCUCUCUUUAGGCCUUUUGUCGAAUUGUUAUGUGGUCCAGUGCAGCCUUACGAAACCGGGUUCUAUGCAGUUCAUGUACAGUGCAAAACUCAUUAUUGCAGGUCAGGCCUGUAGCAUGUCUUGGGUCAUUGACAUGCAGGAAAGAAGGAAAAAGGACAUAGAAGUAUCAUUUUGUUAUUGGUCAAGAAAAUUUGAAUAAUGUCCAACUGAUUUCAGUUGAAUGACAAAUAGACAAUCCCUUGUUUAAUCAGUAGAUAUACACCAUUAACUCAAAUAGCAAAGAAAUACUAGUCCAUUUAUAAUCGAUGAUUGCGCAUGAUGCAUCCAUCCAUUCUAUCGGAGAGGCUGUGUUUUUUUUCUUCUUGUGCUAAGGUUGAUAGCAUCACAUAUCUUAUGCUUUUGUUUCUCAAGUAGAGCCUUGAGAUAGAUGUGUCUGCAACCGUCCUCGAAUGGUUGUGCAAUAAUAAUGGUCCUAGCUAAUUACUAGUAUGCACUGCUUAUAAAACAACUUGUUGCUCGUUUCACUUUGAGUAUGCUGUUGCUGCUAAAGUAGCAACAACAACAGCCAUGCUUUGGUUCCCCAAAAUUCAGAUGGCACUGGCAUCUCUACAUACACACACAUAUAUGAAUAUGCACCUCAGUUUGGUUCAGUUUGCAUGUGUACCGUUGCUUUAACUUUGACUGAAACUAUCUUGGUGGCACUUGCAUCAAUGUUGUGCUCUGCCCUUGUAUAUGUCCUUGGAGAAGAUGACCAUUGGACUGUAGGGGACGAACAACCUUGUCCUGCUCGAGGAGGAGGAGGAUGGCCACCCUGAGCUCGAGGACGACACGACAACAGGAGCACUCACCUCCCUACUAAGGUGAAGGUCCGAUCCGCCUGUUUAGAUGGUCUGCUCUUGUCUUGUGAUCUGAGGGGAGAAGAAAGCCAUUGGCCUCAAUUAUAUUUGCAUGUGAGGGGAGCGAUCCUUUUGGUAGAUGCAGAGUAUAGAUUACAUAUUCCACAAAACUCACCACACGAGUAUACUAACUAUAUCCACAAAAUUCACCACACGAGCAUACUACCUAUGUCCAAAUGUGGGUUUGAUACUUUCGACAUGAAACAUGAAUAUCAGGUUGGGAGUUUGGAGUUUAAUCAAAUAACGCAGCAAGGCGAUCAUCGGUAGGGAUGCACCUUUGAGGCGGCAAGGAGGGCUUCUCAAAGGCAGUACACAUGGCUUAUUACUGCUUGUAUGUGAGUACGCAGAUGUGGCGUCUAUGGAUAGAGGGUUAGGGGCGCAACGCAAGCGGCAGUAGGGGAUACACAACCUGAUUUGAUUUGGUCAAUCACGGGAAAUGGGAGAAGGCCUAGGGUGCAAAGUUUAGAUCGGUGGGUUGGUAGCGUUAGGCAUAAUAGAGAUCAAACCUUUUUCAUAGGCGUAUGUAGGUUAUUUCCUUGAAGCAUUUUAUCAAAAUGGUGUAGGCGGGUAAUAUCUCUCAACUUAAAUGUGAAGGGGAUAUAUUAUUUCCUUGUAGAGGCCGAGGAAUACAUGGCGUACCGCUACAUAUGCAACCAUGAUUUUUUGUGGAUGGUUACGAGAGAACCUGAAAGAUACCAUGGACCGAAGCAUGGGCACAUGAAGUUCCUGUUGGGGAACGUAGUAAUUUCAAAAAAAUUCCUACGCACACGCAAGAUCAUGGUGAUGCAUAGCAACGAGAGGAGAGAGUAUGAUCUACGUACCCUUGUAGAUCGACAACGGAAGCGUUAACUUGGUUGAUGUAGUCGUACGUCUUCACGGCCCGGCCGAUCAAGCACCGAAACUACGGCACCUCCGAGAUCUAGCACACAUUCAGCUCGAUGACGAUCCCCGGACUCCGAUCCAGCAAAGUGUCGGGGAAGAGUUCCGUCAGCACGACGGCGUGGUGACGAUAUUGAUGUACUACCGUCGCAGGGCUUCGCCUAAGCACCGCUACAAUAUUAUCGAGGACUAUGGUGGAAGGGGGCACCGCACACGGCUAAGAAUAUGAUCACAUGGAUCAACUUGUGUCUCUAGGGGUGCUCCCUGCCUCCGUAUAUAAAGGCUCAAAGGGGGAGGGGUGGCCGGCCAAGAGGAGGCGCGCCAGGAGGAGUCCUACUCCCUCCAGGAGUAGGACUCCCCCCCUUUCCUAAUUGGAAUAGGAUUCGCGGAGGGGGGAAAGAGGAGAGAGAGGAGGAAGGGGGGGGCGACCCCCUCUCCUUGUCCUAUUUGGACCAAAGGGGGGAGGGGCGCGCGGCCCAUAUCUGGCCACCUCUCCUCUCUUCCACUAAGGCCCACUAAGGCCCAUAUACCUCCCGGGGGGUUCCGGUAACCUCCCGGUAAUCCGGUAAAAUCCCGAUUUCACCCGGAACACUUCCGAUAUCCAAAUAUAGGCUUCCAACAUAUCAAUCUUUAUGUCUCGACCAUUUCGAGACUCCUCGUCAUGUCCGUGAUCACAUCCGGGGCUCCGAACAAACUUCGGUACAUCAAAAUGCAUAAACUCAUAAUAUAACUGUCAUCGAAACCUUAAGCGUGCCGACCCUACGGGUUCGAGAACAAUGUAGACAUGACCGAGACACGUCUCCGGUCAAUAACCAAUAGCGGCACCUGGAUGCUCAUAUUGGAUCCUACAUAUUCUACGAAGAUCUUUUAUCGGUCAGACCGCAUAACAACAUACGUUGUUCCCUUUGUCAUCGGUAUGUUACUUGCCCGAGAUUCGAUCAUCGGUAUCCAAUACCUAGUUCAAUCUCGUUACCGGCAAGUCUCUUUACUCGUUCCGUAAUCCAUCAUCCCGCAACUAACUCAUUAGUCGCAAUGCUUGUAAGGCUUAUGUGAUGUGCAUUACCGAGAGGACCCAGAGAUACCUCUCCGACAAUCGGAGUGACAAAUCCUAAUCUCGAAAUACGCCAACCCAACAUGUACCUUUGGAGACACCUGUAGAGCUCCUUUAUAAUCACCCAGUUACGUUGUGACGUUUGGUAGCAUAAAAAGUGUUCCUCCGGCAAACGGGGGUUGCAUAAUCUCAUAGUCAUAGGAACAUGUAUAAGUCAUGAAGAAAGCAAUAGCAACAUACUAAACGAUCGGGUGCUAAGCUAAAGGAAUGGGUGAUGUCAAUCAGAUCAUUCAUCUAAUGAUGUGAUCCUGUUAAUCAAAUGACAACUCUUUGUCCGUGUUUAGGAAACAUAACCAUCUUUGAUUAACAAGCUAGUCUAGUAGAGGCAUACUAGUGACACUCUGUUUGUCUAUGUAUUCACGCAUGUAUUAUGUUUCCGGUUAAUACAAUUCUAGCAUGAAUAAUAAACUUUUAUCAUGAUAUAUAAGGAAAUAAAUAAUAACUUUAUUAUUGCCUCUAGGGCAUAUUUCCUUCAGUCUCCCACUUGCACUAGAGUCAAUAAUCUAGAUUACACAGUAAUGAUUCUAACACCCAUGGAGCCUUGGUGCUGAUCAUGUUUUGCUCGUGGAAGAGGCUUAGUCAACGGGUCUUCUACAUUCAGAUCCGUAUGUAUCUUGCAAAUCUCUAUGUCUCCCACCUGGACUAGAUCCCGGAUGGAAUUGAAGCGUCUCUUGAUGUGCUUGGUUCUCUUGUGAAAUCUGGAUUCCUUUGCCAAGGCAAUUGCACCAGUAUUGUCACAAAAGAUUUUCAUUGGACCCGAUGCACUAGGUAUGACACCUAGAUCGGAUAUGAACUCCUUCAUCCAGACUCCUUCAUUCGCUGCUUCCGAAGCAGCUAUGUAUUCCGCUUCACAUGUAGAUCCCGCCACGACGCUCUGUUUAGAACUGCACCAACUGACAGCUCCACCAUUUAAUGUAAACACGUAUCCGGUUUGCGAUUUAGAAUCAUCCGGAUUAGUGUCAAAGCUUGCAUCAACGUAACCAUUUACGAUGAGCUCUUUGUCACCUCCAUAUACAAGAAACAUAUCCUUAGUCCUUUUCAGGUACUUCAGGAUGUUCUUGACCGCUGUCCAGUGAUCCACUCCUAGAUUACUUUGGUACCUCCCUGCUAGACUUAUAGCAAUGCACACAUCAGGUCUGGUACACAGCAUUGCAUACAUGAUAGAGCCUAUGGCUGAAGCAUAGGGAACAUCUUUCAUUUUCUCUCUAUCUUCUGCAGUGGUCGGCCAUUGAGUCUGACUCAACUUCACACCUUGUAACACAGGCAAGAACCCUUUCUUUGCUUGAUCCAUUUUGAACUUCUUCAAAAUUUUGUCAAGGUAUGUGCUUUGUGAAAGUCCAAUUAAGCGUCUUGAUCUAUCUCUAUAGAUCUUUAUGCCUAAUAUGUAAGCAGCUUCACCAAGGUCUUUCAUUGAAAAACUCUUAUUCGAGUAUCCCUUUAUGCUAUCCAGAAAUUAUAUAUCAUUUCCAAUCAGUAAUAUGUCAUCCACAUAUAAUAUCAUAAAUGCUACAGAGCUCCCACUAACUUUCUUGUAAAUACAGGCUUCUCCAAAGGUCUGUAUAAAACCAAAUGCUUUGAUCACACUAUCAAAGCGUUUAUUCCAACUCCGAGAGGCUUGCACCAGUCCAUAAAUGGAUCACUGGAGCUUGCACAGUUUGUUAGCUCCCUUUGGAUCGACAAAACCUUCCGGUUGCAUCAUAUAAAACUCUUCUUCCAGAAAUCCAUUCAGGAAUGCAGUUUUGACAUCCAUCUGCCAAAUUUCAUAAUCAUAAAAUGCGGCAAUUGCUAACAUGAUUCGGACAGACUUAAGCAUCGCUACGGGUGAGAAGGUCUCAUCGUAGUCAACCCCUUGAACUUGUCGAAAACCUUUUGCGACAAGUCAAGCUUUGUAGACAGUAAUAUUACCGUCAGCGUCAGUCUUCUUCUUGAAGAUCCAUUUAUUCUCAAUUGCUUGCCGAUCAUCGGGCAAGUCAACCAAAGUCCAUACUUUGUUCUCAUACAUGGAUCCCAUCUCAGAUUUCAUGGCUUCAAGCCAUUUUUCGGAAUCUGGGCUCACCAUCGCUUCUUCAUAGUUCGUAGGUUCAUCAUGAUCUAGUAGCAUGACUUCCAGAACAGGAUUACCGUACCACUCUGGCGCGGAUCUUACUCUGGUUGAUCUACGAGGUUCAGUAGUAUCUUGUUCUGAAGUUUCAUGAUCAUUAUCAUUAGCUUCCUCACUAAUUGGUGUAGGUGUCGCAAAAACAGGUUUCUGUUAUGUGCUACUUUCCAAUAAGGGAGCAGGUACAGUUACCUCGUCAAGUUCUACUUUCCUCCCACUCACUUCUUUCGAGAGAAACUCCUUCUCUAGAAAGGAUCCAUUCUUAGCAACGAAUGUCUUGCCUUCGGAUCUGUGAUAGAAGGUGUACCCAACAGUCUCCUUUGGGUAUCCUAUGAAUACACAUUUCUCCGAUUUCGGUUCGAGCUUAUCAGGUUGAAGCUUUUUCACAUAAGCAUCGCAGCCCCAAACUUUAAGAAACGACAACUUUGGUUUCUUGCCAAACCAUAGUUCAUAAGGUGUCAUCUCAACGGAUUUUGAUGGCGCCCUGUUUAACGUGAAUGCGGCUGUCUCUAAAGCAUAACCCCAAAAUGAUAGCGGUAAAUUUGUAAGAGACAUCAUAGAUCGCACCAUAUCAAGUAAAGUACGAUUACGACAUUCGGACACACCAUUACGCUGAGGUGUUCCGGGUGGCGUGAGUUGCAAAACUAUUCCGCAUUGUUUCAGAUGUAGACCAAACUCGUAACUCAAAUAUUCUCCUCCACGAUCAGAUCGCAGAAACUUUAUUUUCUUGUUACGAUGAUUUUCAACUUCACUCUGAAAUUCUUUGAACUUUUCAAAUGUUUCAGACUUAUGCUUCAUUAAGUAGAUAUACCCAUAUCUGCUUAAAUCAUCUGUGAAGGUGAGAAAAUAACGAUAUCCGCCACGAGCCUCAACAUUCAUCGGACCACAUACAUCUGUAUGUAUGAUUUCCAACAAAUCUGUUGCUCUCUCCAUUGUAUCGGAGAAUGGUGUUUUAGUCAUCUUGCCCAUGAGGCACGGUUCGCAGGUACCAAGUGAUUCAUAAUCAAGAGGUUCCAAAAGUCCAUCUGUAUGGAGUUUCUUCAUGCGCUUUACACCGAUAUGACCUAAACGGCAGUGCCACAAAUGAGUUGCCCUAUCAUUAUCAACUCUGCAUCUUUUGGCUUCAACAUUAUGAAUAUGUGUGUUACUACUAUCGAGAUUCAUCAAAAAUAGACCACUCUUCAAAGGUGCAUGACCAUAAAAGAUAUCACUCAUAUAAAUAGAACAACCAUUAUUCUCUAAUUUAAAUGAAUAACCGUCUCGCAUUAAACAAGAUCCAGAUAUAAUGUUCAUGCUCAAUGCUGGCACCAAAUAACAAUUAUUUAGGUCUAAUACUAAUCCCGAAGGUAGAUGUAGAGGUAGCGUGCCGACCGCGAUCACAUUGACUUUAGAACCAUUUCCCACGCGCAUCGUCACCUCGUCCUUUGCCAGUGUUCGCUUAAUCCGUAGUCCCUGUUUCAAGUUGCAAAUAUUAGCAACAGAACCAGUAUCAAAUACCCAGGUGCUACUGCGAGCUCUAGUAAGGUACACAUCAAUAACAUGUAUAUCACUUAUACCUUUGUUCACCUUGCCAUCCUUCUUAUCCGCCAAAUACUUGGGGCAGUUCCGCUUCUAGUGACCAGUCUGCUUGCAUUAGAAGCACUCAAUUUCAGGCUUAGGUCCAGACUUGGGUUUCUUCUCCUGAUCAACAACUUGCUUGCUUUUCUUCUUGAAGUUCCCCUUCUUCUUCCCUUUGCCCUUUUUCUUGAAACUAGUGGUCUUGUUGACCAUCAACACUUGAUGCUCCUUCUUGAUUUCUACCUCCGCAGCUUUUAGCAUUGCGAAGAGCUCGGGAAUAGUCUUAUUCAUCCCUUGCAUAUUAUAGUUCAUCACAAAGCUCUUGUAGCUUGGUGGCAGUGAUUGGAGAAUUCUGUCAAUGACGCAAUCAUCUGGAAGAUUAACUCCCAUCUGAAUCAAGUGAUUAUUAUACCCAGACAUUUUGAGUAUAUGCUCACUGACAGAACUGUUCUCCUCCAUCUUGCAGCUAUAGAACUUAUUGGAGACUUCAUAUCUCUCAAUCCAGGCAUUUGCUUGAAAUAUUAACUUCAACUCCUGGAACAUCUCAUAUGCUCCAUGACGUUCAAAGCGUCGUUGAAGUCUCUAAGCCGUAAAGCAUGGCACACUGAACUAUCGAGUAGUCAUCAGCUUUGCUCUGCCAGACGUUCAUAACAUCUGGUGUUGCUCCAGCAGCAGGCCUGGCACCCAGCGGUGCUUCCAGGACGUAAUUCUUCUAUGCAGCAAUGAGGAUAAUCCUCAAGUUACGGACCCAGUCCGUGUAAUUGCUACCAUCGUCUUUCAACUUUGCUUUCUCAAGGAACGCAUUAAAAUUUAACGGAACAACAGCACGGGCCAUUUAUCUACAAUUAACAUAAACAAGCAAGAUACUAUCAGGAACUAAGUUCAUGAUAAAUUUAAGUUCAAUUAAUCAUAUUACUCAAGAACUCCCACUUAGAUAGACAUCCCUCUAAUCAUCUAAACCAUAACCGAUCAUCACGUGAAAUGGAGUAGUUUUCAGUGGUGAACAUCGCUAUGUUGAUCAUAUCUACUAUAUGAUUCACGCACGAUCUUUCGAUCUCAGUGUUCCGAGGCCAUAUCUGCAUAUGCUAGGCUCGUCAAGUUUAACCUGAGUAUUCUGCGUGUGCAAAACUGGCUUGCACCCGUUGUAGAUGGACGUAGAGCUUAUCACACCCGAUCAUCACGUGGUGUCUGGGCACAACAAACUUUGGCAACGGUGCAUACUCGGGGAGAACACUUUUAUCUUGAAAUUUAGUGAGAGAUCAUCUUAUAAUGCUACCGUCAAUCAAAGCAAGAUAAGAUGCAUAAAAGAUAAACAUCACAUGCAAUCAAUAUAAGUGAUAUGAUAUGGCCAUCAUCAUCUUGUGCUUGUGAUCUCCAUCCUCGAAGCACCAUCGUGAACACCAUUGUCACCAGCGCGACACCUUGAUCUCCAUCAUAGCAUCAUUGUCAUCUUGCCAAUCUUAUGCUUCUACGACUAUCGCUACCGCUUAGUGAUAAAGUAAAGCAUUACAGGGCGAUUGCGUUGCAUACAAUAAAGCGACAACCAUAUGGCUCCUGCCAGUUGCCGAUAACUCGGUUACAAAACAUGAUCAUCUCAUACAAUAAAAUUUAGCAUCAUGUCUUGACCAUAUCACAUCACAACAUGCCCUGCAAAAACAAGUUAGACGUCCUCUACUUUGUUGUUGCAAGUUUUACGUUGCUGCUGCGGGCUUAAGCAAGAACCAAUCUUACCUACGCAUCAAAACCACAAUGAUAGUUUGUCAAGUUGGUGCUGUUUUAACCUUCGCAAGGACCGGGCGUAGCCACACUCGGUUCAACUAAAGUUGGAGAAACUGCCACCCGCAAGCCACCUAUGUGCAAAGCACGUCGGGAGAACCGGUCUCGCGUAAGCGUACGCGUAAUGUCGGUCUGGGCCGCUUCGUCCAGCAAUACCGCCGAACCAAAGUAUGACAUGUUGGUAAGCAGUAUGACUUAUAUCGCCCACAACUCACUUGUGUUCUACUCGUGCAUAUAACAUCAACAUAUAAAACCUAGGCUCGGAUGCCACUGUUGGGGAACGUAGUAAUUUCAAAAAAAUUCCUACGCACACGCAAGAUCAUGGUGAUGCAUAGCAACGAGAGGGGAGAGUAUGAUCUACGUACCCUUGUAGAUCGACAACGAAAGCGUUAACUUCGUUGAUGUAGUCGUACGUCUUCACGGCCCGACCGAUCAAGCACUGAAACUACGGCACCUCCUAGUUCUAGCACACAUUCAGCUUGAUGAUGAUCCCCGGACUCCGAUCCAGCAAAGUGUCGGGGAAGAGUUCCGUCAGCACGACGGCGUGGUGACGAUCUUGAUGUACUACCGUCGCAGGGCUUCGCCUAAGCACCACUACAAUAUUAUCGAGGACUAUGGUGGAAGGGGGCACCGCACACGGCUAAGAAUAUGAUCACGUGGAUCAACUUGUGUCUCUAGGGGUGCUCCCUGCCUCCGUAUAUAAAGGCUCAAAGAGGGGGGCGGCCGGCCAAGAGGAGGCGCGCCAGGAGGAGUCCUACUCCCUCCGGGAGUAGGACUCCCCCCUUUCCUAAUUGGAAUAGGAUUCGCGGAGGGGGGAAAGAGGAGAGAGAGGAGGAAGGGGGGCCGGCCCCCUCUCCUUGUCCUAUUCGGACCACAGGGGGGAGGGGCGCGCGACCCAUCUCUGGCCACCUCUCCUCUCUUCCACUAAGGCCCACUAAGGCCCAUAUACCUCCCGGGGGGUUCCGGUAACCUCCCGGUAAUCCGGUAAAAUCCCUAUUUCACCCGGAACACUUCCGAUAUCCAAAUAUAGGCUUCCAACAUAUCAAUCUUUAUGUCUCGACCAUUUCGAGACUCCUCGUCAUGUCCGUGAUCACAUCUGGGACUCCGAACAAACUUCGGUACAUCAAAAUGCAUAAACUCAUAAUAUAACUGUCAUCGAAACCUUAAGCGUGCGGACCCUACGGGUUCGAGAACAAUGUAGACAUGAACGAGACACGUCUCCGGUCAAUAACCAAUAGCGGAACCUGGAUGCUCAUAUUGGCUCCUACAUAUUCUACGAAGAUCUUUUAUCAGUCAGACUGCAUAAGAACAUACGUUGUUCCCUUUGUCAUCGGUAUGUUACUUGCCCGAGAUUCGAUCGUCGGUAUCCAAUACCUAGUUCAAUCUCGUUACCGGCAAGUCUCUUUACUCGUUCCGUAAUCCAUCAUCCCGCAACUAACUCAUUAGUCGCAAUGCUUGCAAGGAUUAUGUGAUGUGCAUUACCGAGAGGGCCCAGAGAUACCUCUCCGACAAUCGGAGUGACAAAUCCUAAUCUCGAAAUAUGCCAACCCAACAUGUACCUUUGGAGACACCUAUAGAGCUCCUUUAUAAUCACCCAGUUACGUUGUGGCGCUUGGUAACACACAAAGUGUUCCUCCGGCAAACUGGAGUUGCAUAAUCUCAUAGUCAUAGGAACAUGUAUAAGUCAUGAAGAAAGCAAUAGCAACAUACUAAACGAUCGGGUGCUAAGCUAAUGGAAUGAGUCAUGUCAAUCAGAUCAUUCAUCUAAAGAUGUGAUCCUGUUAAUCAAAUGACAACUCUUUGUCCAUGGUUAGGAAACAUAACCAUCUUUGAUUAACAAGCUAGUCUAGUAGAGGCAUACUAGUGACAAUCUGUUUGUCUAUGUAUUCACACAUGUAUUAUGUUUCCGGUUAAUACAAUUCUAGCAUGAAUAAUAAACUUUUAUCAUGAUAUAUAAGGAAAUAAAUAAUAACUUUAUUAUUGCCUCUAGGGCAUAUUUCCUUCAGUUCCAACACCGAAGGGUAAGGAGACGGGCCCGCGUCAUUUACGUCCGGAAUAUGCGACCUUGAUUCUUUGUCGAUGGUGAUGCCAAGACUAUAGGAUAAGGUGGAUCCGGACACAUGAGCAGAUGAAGUGCCUGACACGAAGUUGGUUAAGGAGCUGGACCCAAGUCAUCUACACCGCAAAUUGGUCGAAGGUGUGCCGUGAAUGAUAGAUGUACUUGAGGGGGGAGAAAGCCUGUGAAAAGAACAUACGGUUGCUCGAUGAUGACACAUGUCUUGAGAGGAUGGCGAGAACCCUAGAUAUGGUUAAGGCACGCCACGAGAACAUCACCCCGGUCGCGAGAUUCUCAGUGGUGUGCGGCAACCGAAGCCAAAAGGGCACCCCCGCAAGACCUUGAAAUGCCAGAGCGGUGGGCGCACAAGCAAUGGUGAGGAAAAUCACAUAAGGUACCAAGCAAGGCCAUCCUGAUCAGGGCUCCAUUGCCAAGCUUAUGUCCACCACUGCGAUUCAGACAAACUUUCAACUGGCGUCUCUGUCUUCUCAAGAUUUCCAUGGUCCCAUCAGGAUGUAUAUAUGUACUUUGUUUAUUUUGAAAAUUAAUAUAUCACCAAAGAAAUUGUAGUACUUGUCAUUCUUUUAAUUACUUAGUAGUUUGCAUGAUAGACUCAAUCUUAUAUUUACUAAUUAGAGGCACCAAAUAAGCGACCACGUUAAUCCUCAAAAACUAAGAAUAUUAUCCAUCCGAUCUCCAUAUUAAGUAUCUGUAGCCGUCCAUUGGACAACUCAAGAGUCCUGGGUUACUAUCCCACGUCAUGCUCCAUGUAAUGUGAAAAAAAAAUCAUCUCCUUGGCCAAAUCCAUCCCACGUCAUGCUCCAUGUAAUGUGAAAAAAAGCAUCUCCCUGGCCAAAUUCUUCCUCCCCUGAUCUAUCAUGUGAGGCACUUGCGCAUCAUCCACAAAUCCCUAGCGCAAAUCCAUCCCACGUCAUGCUCCAUGUAAUGUGAAAAAAAUCAUCUCCCUGGCCAAAUUCUUCCUCCCCCGAUCUAUCAUGUGAGGCACUUGCGCAUCAUCCACAAAUCCCUAGCGCUGCUCUUCCAGGUCGUCCUCCUCCUUCCUAUCUUUUGUUGUCUUAAUGCAAAACGAUUCCGUGAGAUCCUUGUGAUCCUCUUCAUCUUCACGUAGAAAUCUGAACUGUCCCAACCACGCUGCAGAUCUGUGGUCCGUCUUGGACAAAGAGAAGGCCCUUUCAAUCUCCACAGAUGCCAUGCCCCAACCAAACCGCAACCCAUGAUAAACGAUGUUGUUGAGAAGGAGGCGCUACCUAAGUCUGAUCGGACAUAUGCCAUUGUUAGGGAAGCUACAAGUCGAAGAACUAUGGUAGACUGAUUGCGAGUAAUUAAGGAGCUAUCAACGAUCCAGUAGGUUUUUGUUAUUAGGAAUUUUUAUGUAGUGCGACUUGAUCUCAAAGAACAAGUACACCAUUAGAGUUCGUUUUGGAGGAUUUUGAUGAUGUGCGCUUAGUUACAGACUUAUCUAAAUACGUAUAACUAGGAUGGACAAUAUUUGUAGGAGCCAUACAAUCCAAUUAGGGGAUUUAGUUUGUCAAAGAUGUUUCCACAUAUCCCUAGCGCUGCUCUUCUAGGUUGCCCCCUGCUUCCUAUCUACGGUCUUCAAGUAAAGCGAUUUAAUGAGUCUCUUGCUGCAGAAAUUUCAACUGCCACAAGAAGGCUGCAGACCUGCGGUUCAUCUUGGCUGAGGUGUCAUACAAUCCAGUUAAGGGAUUCCAUUCAUUGAAGAUGUGGCUGUACUUUCGCACAACAAACUCAAGCACAUCUUCUUAUGUUCUUAGAAACUAGAUGAGUUGUUUUGGACUUUCUUUGGUCUACUCCUCUAUGCUUCUUAUUGGGAAAGUUAGUAUGCAAAAGUUAUGCCCAUCUUCUUAAAUUCGGAUGUAACUUUUCGAGUAGAUGAUUUUUCAUAUAAAAAACUUUUUCAUCCGAGUUAGUAUGCAAAAGUUAUGCCCAUUUUUACAAAUUUCAGAGAGAUUUUGCAAAUAAAGUGAAAAUUCAGAUUUGCAAAUUUUCCCAACAAGUAGACCACAUAUCACAUGGGAAACUUAUUUUCUUUUAUUUUUUUUGACAUUUCCAUCAUUUUCUUUUAUUUUUUUAAAACUGAAAAGGCGAUCCACAUGGGGGGGGGUAGAGUUUGAAAAUGGGACCUUUAGUACUGGUUCGUGGCACGAACCGGGACUAAAGGUCUCAACCCCAUUAGUCCCGGUUCAUGCCUCAAACCGGGACUAAAGGUCUAAUCGUUAGUCCCGGUUUGAGGCACGAACCGGGACCAAUGGUUUUGUGCCAGGAGCGAGGCCCAUUGGUCCCGGUUCAUCCCACCAACCGGGACCAAAAGGUCCAGAUGAACCGGGACCAAUGGCCCACGUGGCCCGGCCGGCCCCCUGGGCUCACGAACCGGGACCAAUGCCCCCGUUGGUCCCGGUUCUGGACUGAACCGGGACUAAUGGGCUGACCCGGCCUGGACCAAAGCCCUGUUUUCUACUAGUGAGUCCAAUCUUGUGUUUAUUCCUCCAUGUCGGCAAAGAGUCAGUAGUCAAUCACCAAGCAAAAUUGCGCACAGUGGGGGGUACAUCACAUCUCCAUAUAUAUUGCCAGCAUUUUCUACUACCAUCUGGCGAUGUGCUAGAUGCCUCUACAGUAUUUCUGUGAGCUACUUCAAAAGCCAGCAUAUAUGCUGAUUUGACCGUGAAGACAUCGAGCUUCCCCGGCCCCCAUGCAAUCACAUCCUCACCUAAUCUUGGAGAUGCCCAUAUCUUUAAGAUUUCUUCCACAUCAGCUGAUAAGAAGUACUGCUGAAGAAGUACCAAGUUCCAAGAACCAUUAUCAUUUAGCAAGUCGGAGACAAAACGAAUGCGACAUCUUCCCUGCAGCGACACAGGUUUGUACGAAAAGGGCCUUGGAAUCCAGUUAUCUCUCCCCUUUGUUGGUAGUCAGAGUCACUAGGACAACUAACUGUGUUAGCAUCUAGAGUUGUAACAAGCCACAGUCCGCCUAUCUUGGUUGCACAGCGAUGAUGCUACCAUCUCCUACGACAAAGUACAUGCCUUGCACCGGAAACAGCGCAACCAUAUGACAUCUAUCCGAGUGGGCGACCACGUGGUGACCGGGCAUGAGGCCAUGGCUGAGGCCGCCUACAACCACUUCUCCGAUGUGCUCGGAAGUGCCAUGGAGCAUGACAUCACGCUUGAUCUCCGCGUUUUGCGUGUUCAACACAAUGCUACUCCGUGCGGUGGACCUAGGCCUUCUUCGACGCCUUACAACUCGGCACGCGGCCUCGAGUAUAUCGCUAUACGCGGACGAUGUUGUCAUCUUUUGUCACCCGGAUAGCCACCACAUUACCACCGUGUGAACCAUCCUACACAUAUUCGGGCUUCAUACAAACUUCGCCAAGUGUUCUGCCACCCCGAUCCGGUGCGAUGAUGACAACAACAUGAUGAUCACAUCUGAGAUGCAGUGCCCCAUAGCCCAAUUCCCCAUCACAUACCUCGGUUUGCCUCUCUCUAUCUGCAAGGCCUCCACGACUAGCUUGCUCCCAAUCAUUGACAAGAUCGGCCACAAGCUCUCCACUUGGCAUGCUUCCAUGAUGUCCAACGGGCAACGGCGACUGCCUUGCUCUCGUGCAUCACGUACUUAGUGCUAUCCCGACAUACUUCCUCACCACCUUUGCUCUCAACCAAUCCAUCCUCGUGAAAUUCAACCGCAUCAUCCGCGGAUUCCUUUGGGCGGGAGGCACCGAAGGCAAUGGGGGUCAGUGUCAUGUUAACUGACAGCAAGUUUGCAGGCCAAUCUCUCUUGGCGGUCUUAGCAUCAGGGACAUUCAAAGGACCGGCAUCACCCUCUGUGCAUGGUUGCUUUGGUUACAGUGCACCGACCCCUUGCAACCCUCGAGCCACUUACACAUACCUCACGACCCAGACGUGACUGCCAUCUUCAGCGCAUCUAGGACCUGGGAUCUUGGGUCCGGCGUCACCUGCAGAUUCUGGUCCGACCACUUGAUAGAGGGUAGAUCCGUGGUUGAGAUCCCCCCAGUCCUCGCCUCGUCCCUCGACGCCGACGCAAGACUCGCACCGUUCACGAGGGCCUCCACCUUAGAGCCUGGGUGCAAGAGAUUCAUGGAGCACUCGGACCGACGGCCAUGUUGCAAUAUGUUGAUCUUGAGCGACGUGUGCGCCACAUUGACCAGAUGAGCCGGAUACACUCAAAUGGCGCUGGACCGCCUCCGCUAUGAAAUGUCUAUGAUGGGAGAAUUUAAAUUCUUCUUAGGCCUUCAAAUUCUUCAACAGCGCAAUGGCAUCUUCAUAUUUCAGGAGAAAUACCUCAAGGAUGUAUUGUGGAAAUUCGGCAUGAAAGAUUGCAAAGGCGUCAAAAUCCCUAUGCCCACAAAUGGCCAUCUAUGCACUGAUGAAAAUGGUAUUGACUUUGAUCAAAAGGUAUACCGCUCCAUGAUUGGUUCUUUAUUGUAUUUAUGUGCAUCUAGGCCAGAUAUUAUGCUCAGUGUUUGCAUGUGUGCCCGAUUUCAACCUACACUGAAGGAAUCACACCAUAAGGCUGUGAAGCAUAUUCUUCGUUAUCUAGCUCACACACCAACACUUGGAUAUGGUAUCCCAAGGGCUCGGCUUUUGAUCUCAUUGGGUACUCACUCUGACUAUGCGGGUGAUCCUGUGGACCGCAAGUCAACAUCAGGCACAUGCCAUUUCCUCAGGCGAUCCUUGGUCUGUUGGUCCUCGAAGAAACAGAACUGCGUAUCACUGUCUACUGCUGAAGCUGAGUACAUUGCUGCUGGUUCUUGCUGUUCUCAAUUUCUAUGGAUGAAUCAAACCCUCAAGGACUACUACGUCAAUGUAAAGAAUGUGCCUCUCUACUAUGACAAUGAGAGUGCCAUCAAGAUUGCUCAUAACCCACUUCAGCAGUCGAAGACAAAGCACAUUCAAAUUUGUCAUCAUUUUCUUCGUGAUCAUGUGUUGAAGGGCGACAUUUCUAUUGAGCAUGUGAAGACUGGAGAACGGCUAGCCGGUAUCUUCACAAAGCCUUUGGAUGAGAAGAGAUUUAGCAAGUUGCGGUGUGAGCUAAAUAUCCUAGAAUCUUCGAAUGUCCUUUGAAAAGGACACACAUCCUAACACUUGUGCAAAGUUGAUGACUUAGACGUGCAACACACGAAGAAACGUUUUUCUUCAUUCAAUGAAGAUUAACACUCUAAGUGUGAAGAAAUUAACAAAGAAUUUGAUUCUCAGAGCCCUUCGACAAUUGUACAUGGUGUUUGAAAUCAUCAUUCUUAUACGGUGGGUCACGCCACCACCAAAAGUUGAAAAUCUUGAAUUUGAGUUUUUACUCAUUUUUGAAUUUCCUCAGUUGUUCAAAUUCUUCAACCCAUCCCACCUUAUCUUCUCAUACCCACUCCCCCCAAUUCCCUCUCUAUCUCUCCCGCAACCUCCCUUGCGCGGACGCCGCCAAACCACCACCUCCCCUGUGCCGCCGCGCCGCGACCUCCUCUGCGCCGCCGCGCCGCAACCUCCUCUCUGCGGCCGAGUCUGCUCCCCGGCGAUUCCCGAUCCACAACUGCCCCCAUUGCCCUUGCCUUCCUCUGCGCGCCGCCGCUCUAGGUCGCGUCCACCGCGUUCCACCACCACCAGCACAUCAGUACGGCGGUAGUGCGGCCCCGCUUCCGUUCCUCCAUGGCCGACCCCCUACCUCCCACCUUCUCCCUCCCGCCCCGAUCGACAACCUCCAUCACCGCCCCGGUCGUGUUGCCCCUCCCGACCCCGCGCCGCCGGAUCCGGGCAACCACGCCGGCGUGCCCUUCCACAAGCUUUCCCGUCGUGACCCUACCACGAGCUGCUCCAGCCCGACCCUGCUUCUUUAACAACGGCACGGUGGCAACUCCCCUUAGUUCACUCCUGCACCGGGGUCGCGAGCUCCGUUCACGGGCUCGCUGGAUCUCGUGAUUGGGGCGCUGGCGACGUGCUCUCCUACUCCACCGCGCCCCUCCUCUACUUCAGCUCCUAUGCCUGUGCCUCUCGUGGACUCAUCGGCGCACAGGCCGCUCUGGAUCCACGCUGGUUCGAGGCCCUGACGGCCUCCUCUUCCUGCUAAGUCACCGAGAUCCAUCGGGGUAUCAAGUUGUUUUGUCGGCCCAAUACUCCUUCUACCUUCCCUUGCCGGCGGUCGUGCAACUUCGGUGAACACCGCUACUCGCGCGCGGAUGACGACGGCGCAGUGGCACUGCAGUUCGCUUUGCAGGGGAUCCGUUGAUGCGGCCGUGGAGUUCGGCCCACAGGUGCAUGAAGUUAUCUUGCCCCCUCCCACAGUUUACCCUUCCGCAUGAGCCCCAUGCCAUAGUCCAUUGGGAAGAAGCUCGUGGUGCGGAUGUGCGGAUGCUCAGUGACAGUGCUGGUGUGUUUCAGAUUUUGUUUUUCUGCAAUUUGUAGGCGACGCUGGAGCAUUGCAGUUCAUUGGCUCGGGGCGAGCAGUGGAGAGGACACACGUGCGUGCAGUUCCCUGUCCAUUGAAAAUGUAGAAGCCCAUCUUGCUGCAAUGUAUGUGAGCAUAUGGCCUGCAAGUGAUGCUCUUUUCCCAGAUUGAAAACAUUGCAAUGUGGUUGGCUGGCCAUCGACGUGCACUUCGCUUUGGGGGGCAGUACGUUCUUUGUGGACGCGCACUUCGUUCGGCCCGAGCGGCAUGAAGCUCCGUUUGCGCGCAUGUGUGGCUUGGCUAACUAGUUUGUGCAGUCGCAUGAUACCUUUAUUAUGUGAUGCCUCCCUAGUUGCUGGAGUUCACUUCUUUGUAUUUAUUGAAACAUCAUGUAGUGCACUGUGAAACUCUCUGUUGUUCACUUGUAAAAACAAAUAGCGGUUCCCUUUGUAAAAAAAAGUGCAGCCCCUUAGUGGUUCACCUUGUAGAAAAUGAGAAAGAAAUCCCCAUGGGAGGUUCACUUCUUUUUCUAAUGCAAUUUGUUUUGUUUGUGGGAUGAUUGAAAAAAGAAGUUCACUCCACUUGUUUAGCAGCUCAUACCCCUUUGUAUGAAAUGCAAUUUGUUUCGUGUGUCUCAAAAUCAGUCGACUACCUCAACACGUGCAAUGCGUUUGGUUUUUGGAUGUGGUUCAUUUUUUAGAGUGAUGUUGUUCACUUGUGCCGAACAUGAAAGCGCAAAAAAAAUUAGCAAAACAAUAAAAAUAGUAAUGCGGUUCACUACGAUAUAUGAUGUGGUUCACUUGCUCGCGUCUCUGCGGUCCACUCUUGUUCAUAAAAAUUGAAAAAAACAUCAAAAACUCGUCCGAGAAAAAUUUACAUCCGACAAAGGAAACCAUGAAGUUCACUUGCCUGCCUGAUGCAGUGCGGUUUCGUUCGAUGCAGUGCGGUUUUCUGUCGAAUGACGUUCACUCACCGAUUUGGGUGUCGCAAAAAAUAGUAUCUGCAUUUUCGUAAUUUUAAAAUUGCUUUUAAACCGUAAGGAAUUAGAGAGAGUGUUCUACAUGAAAAAGUUGCGUCUCGUCGAUAUUUUUCCAAUGCCAUAUCAUUUGAAUCAUUUUGACAAGCAGUUUGUAAAAAUUUCACAAAAAACGACCGCUGCCAGUCAUCGUCCGCCACACCAUUCUAAAAAUUAACUUAAAACCGUAGUGAAUCUCGAAACCAAUUCUACAUAUAAAAGUUGCGCCUUGUCCAUAGCUUUCCAACGACGUAUUACACGCCUCAUUUCGAUAAACGGUUCAAAAACUAGAGUGAAAACAGUAUCGAAAGUUGCAAAAAUUUCAAAAAAUGUAAUUUCGCGAUUUAGUAAAUUUGAAACUGCUCUUAAACCGAAAUGAAUUAGAGAAAAUAAUAGAUAUGGAAAAGAUGCGCCUCAAUGAUAUCUUUCCAACGGCGUCUCAUUUGCUUUAUUCUGAUGAGCGGUUUUGAAAAAAUCAAGAAAAUACGCUCGCUGCCACUCGUCAUCCGCAGCACCGUUUUUGAAACUGCUCUUAAACCGCGAGGAUCUCGAAAAGUGUUCAACAUGGCAAAGUUGCGCCUAAUCCAUAGCUUCUCCACGGUAUAUUACACGCGUCAUUCCGAUAAAUGGUUAAAAAAUUAGAGCGAAAAAACUACCAAAAAUACACAGCGUGUAGUUUUUUCGACACGAAGUUCACUCGCCUGAGUACUGCAGCACACUUGGUUCAAACAAUGACGUGCAGUUGCGUUGAGCGUGCACUUCGGAAGUGUUAUCAGAAUAACUAUUCUGUUAAUAUUAGCAUAAUAGACCGACUGUAUAUUAUUCUGUUACGCGUAACAGGAUAUUAUUCUGUUACCCUAUGGUGAAUUCAAGCAGUUGAACUGAUGCUUUCUGUUCCUAUUAAAAAUCGUCUUCUUUAGUUCAAAAGUUUUUGCAAUUUUUUUAUCAAAACAGGGCGUGUAAUAUAUCGCUGGAAAGCUCUUGACAUCUACAUUACAAUCUUGUAAUUUGUUUUUGCAAAAAAUUAUGAUUUACGAGCAGUUUUGAAAAACCCGUUUUUUUUCAAGCCGAAAACGCGAAUCGUAUUUUGGACUUAAUUUUCAAACGGUUUGUCGGAAUUGAGCAAAUGAGAUGGCAUUGGAAAGCUUGUGAAAAUCCGCAUCUUCUAUAUUUCUACUAUUUUUUCAAAUUCUAUAUGAUUUAAAAGUAAUUUGAAAAACGGUGAAAUUCUGGGCGAAAUGUUUUUUCACUAUUUUUUUGCAAACGGUUUGUAGGAUUGACACAAAUGAUAUGGUGUUGGAAAGCUAUGGAAAAUGCGCAAAUUUUGCAUAUAGAAAGUUUUUUCUAAUUCCUUACGAUUUAAAUACGAAUUCAAAUACAGUUAAAAUUGAUUUUGAACGUGUUUUUUAAAAAGUUUGUCGAAAUGGAGAAAAUAAUAUACCAUUGGAUAGCUAUCGAAAAUGCAAAACUUAGUCAUGUUGGACGUUUUCUCUACUUCACAACCAUUUAAGAGUAAUCUUCAAUACGGCAUGACGGAUCCUGCUGUUUUCUCGUCUGAAAAACAGAUUAGUCGUACUGAUAUAUGUGUAUGUUUGUACUGAGCUAUUUUUUGUAGAGUAAUUUUAAGUGGUUCCGAAAAAAUGUUCUUAUACUGAUGCUUGCGUGGUUUUGUACUAAACGUGUUUUCACUAACUAGACUUUGCUCUGUUUUUUCAUGAGACCCAUCAUGCUGUUUUUUCGUGAGAAAAAACAGAGUACUUGUACUGAUCUACAUGUGUGUUUGUACUGAUGUAUUCUUCGAAGAGUAAUUUUGAAAGGUUCCGAAAAAGGAGUACUUGAACUAAUGUCCGUAUGGGGUUGUACUGAGCGUUUUUUCACAGACUAGACUUUACUCUAUUCUUUUUACCGAAAAUUGUUUCAUCAAUUGUUCGCAAAUGAUAGUACGAACUAAGAUAUGUGUUGGUUUGUACUGAGCAUUUGUUUCAUCAUUUGUUCGCAAUUGAUAGUACGAAUGGAGCUUUGUUCAUUUUUAUACUGAGCAUUCUUGUCAGUGCCAGGAUCUCCGGAUUUAUGUUGUUUUGUUCUGCGAACUUCCUCAAAAUUUUAUUGGUAAAUCACACCAUUUUUUUCUUUUGCUAAAUUUUUGUCCUCUGAACUUGUGACGGAUGGAGUUUGUACUGAUAUGAAUCAUUUUGCCGAACCGCCACAAUUUUUUGUGUAUUGAAUCACUAUAUAACUUAGAACCAAAUUGUUUUUCUUAACAUAUAUUUGAAUUGUUUCUAUAUGUACAUUGAAUUGGGGAAGAGUAGCAAAAGUUAUACAUACUUUAUGGAUAGUAAUACAUGAAUUUCUUGGUAAACUGAAGAAUGUACUCUGGACCGUAAUACAUGUCCUCUCGAGUUUGUACUGAUGUGAAUCCUUUUGAACUUGCUCUCGACGGUAAUACAUGCCCUCUCGAGUUUGUAAUGAUGUGAAUCCAUUCGAACUUAUGUGGCUUACAUCAUUGAACGGACUCUAUUCUUCUCACUACCACCAUUGUUCUGUCCAUUUCUUUUCGGACUUGCAUGGCUUACAUCGUUGAACGGGCUUAGGUGGAUAUGUACUAAUGAACUACUGUGAUUUGUAGCUCUCAGGAAAUGGAAUCCUUUCUUUCCCUGUUAUUCUGAAUACCAAACAGCAAAAAAUGAGUUCUCAUAAGCACGAAAAAAUAUAUAUGUACCCCUAAAUUUUGCAGCUAUUUUGUCCUCUUUCAUUUUGAAAAAACAUACAAAAAGCAAAAGCACAAACUAUACAAAAGGUUUUAGACACCAAACCAGUAGAGAAUUAAAAAUAAGCAUCAGGCAGCAACUUGCUAAAGAUAGCACGAGUCAUAUACAUACGCAUUUCAUCCCAUUAUACUUCUCCACCCGCAUGGAAAGUGAGAGAACCUCCCUACAUGCAUAUACAGGCAUCAAACUCCCUCUGUACCUAAACUAUAUUUUUGUUUGAUAUAUAUUGUGAACUCCUCUUGUCGAUGUACAUGAACCUGCUGUGCAGAGAGAUGAAAUGUAGUACAUCAGUCUAGCUUCAUUCAGCUAGAGAGAAACAUGAAAAAAUGUUCAGUUUUUUGGACGGCUUUCCUCUUUUUCUUUGUCCAAUUCCGCGCCACGACUGCCACCAUCCUGCAUGCAAGCUUAAAAUUAAUUGAAGCCACCAAACAUGCACUUUCAUGAGACUUUGCUACUAUAAGUCAGCGAACAUAUCUUUAGUAUUAAACCAAAGGCACACUUAUUAACCAGCACUCUUGUUCAGUUCAGAGCAUCAUCAAUAAGAUAAAGAUACGGAAACAUUAAGCCAAUAUAGAACAACUGGAUUGAUUUGACUCAAAUUUUUACUUUCAAUGCAUUGUAGGCAACAGCCGAUCCAAGUCAGAACUGAUGUGAUUUAUUCCAUUGAACUGAUAUGAAAGUUUAUCUAUACUGUUCUGUUUUUUAACACACACGUUUUGAACUAUUCCCGCUUUUUUCAUUAUGAAUUGAUGACAUAAGACAUGUUGAACUGUUACACAAGAGCAAAAUUCAGAAAUACAUAACAAUGGUGUACUCAAAAUAUGUGCAUUUUAAGGAACAAAACUUUCUGAACCUUCUAUACGAAAAACUUCAACUAUCAGUCCAAAGAGAUUUGAAGUUAAACAAUCAUUUCCCUUACCGAGUGUUAAGGAAAACGAAACCAGAGAUGACCUCGCCGACAGUAGGAGUAGCGAUGGCUGCCAAGGCGACGCGUUGGUACAUGUACUAAACAUCUGCUCAAACCUGUUGUAACAUCUACUUCAAGCUUUUUCUAAAUCAUUGUUGGGAGUAGAGGGUUUUAAAAGAAAAUACAGAGUGCCAAAGAAAGAAAGGAACAACCUAUUUAUCUAAAGGACUGUGAUAUUUGGCACACGUGUGCCAUAUAAGCAAAACUGCCACACCUCUAUUUCUUUCAUUUUAAAGUACCAUACGAUCCCUCGUUCUUUGACCCCGCCUCUUCCCAAAUUACCCCGCAGGCUCGCCUGAGAAACCUGCUUCUCCCGCACAUCUCGGGCGCUUACCCCCGAGAAAACUGCCACUUCUUCACGUCUACCACAUGAUUUCUCCUUAGGACAAAGUUACCAUGAUAUUCAUAUGAAAGUUAUCAGGCCUGUGUUGCAUAACUUACCAUACUAUUUACAUAGAACGUAUCAGGUACUAUGCUUCAACAACUACACCCUUUCAAAGUUACCACUGUGUUUUGUACACAAGUUAUAAGGUCUUUGAUGUGUAAAAUACCGUGGUACUUACACAUAAGUUAUCAGGGUAUAUGUACAUCAACCUCCCCCCGGUCAAAGUUACCAUGGGGGAUUGUACAUGAGUUACCGGGUCUACGGUUCGUAUAUUAUCAUGGUACUAGCACCUAAAAACAUGGGUGUGUUUCGGUAGCUUUUCACAUAGGUCAAAAAUUACCAUGAUGUUUUUGCGUAACUUAUCACGCCUAUAGCACGUGUGCCCCUCGUGACACUAAACAUUAUGUGACUUUCCCGUGGCAUGCCAUGUGUUGUGUUCAUCCAAGAGGCCCACGCGCGAGGCAAGUGUAUGUUUUUAACAACUUAUAUAUUUUCCUUUGGUAAAAAAGUUAUCAUCAUGUUUAUAUUGCAAGUUAUCGGUUAUGCGGUGCUUAUAUUAUCAUGUUAUUUACACAAAAAUUAUUGGGGAUGUUUUGAACAACUUUUUCCCGAGGCAAAAAGUUAUCAUGGUGAUUCUAGGUAACCUAUCAAGCCCGUAGUGCUUAAAAUAUCAUGCUAUUUACAUAAAAUUUAUCAGGGAUAUGCUUCAGCAACAAAUUCCACCCCCCAUGGGUCAAAAAUCUAUCAUGGUGUUUAGUUAUCGCAGUGCAUAUGUUUUCAUACUAUUUACACAUAAAAAUGCCAGGGGAGGGAGGUAUACUACCGUGCUAUUUACAAAGAAGUUACCGGAGUAUCUUAAAAAAAUUGCCUACGGUCAAAGUUACCAUGGUGCUUCUACCUCAGUUAUCAGAUGUGCGCUGUGUAUAUUACCAUCUAUUUACACAUAAACUAUCAGGUAUCUUUUCACAUUUGUUUUCCCCAAUGGUUAAAGUUACCACGAUGUUUGUAUCUAAAUUAUCAGGUCUAUGGCGUGAAUGUUAUCGUACUAUUUACAGAAAUUACCGGAGGGCGGGUUCAACAAAUUUAUUCCCAAUGAUCAAAGUUACCACGAUGCUUGAAACAAAAAGUUGCUAACGUAUUAAAGGCAAAAACAUGUCAAAAACAGUAUUACCCUUAGAAUGUUCAACAAUGAGUAUCAUAGGUGAGGUGGUUAGCUCCCUUUGUUAAUUACCUGCAGACCAGAGAUCAAAUCCUAGUAUAAGCAUUAUUUUUGCUGAAAAUCGAGAAGGCAUGUGGGGCCAUAAAUGACGAUUACAAAAAUUAGAAAGGCACAAGCGGGAGAGAAUUGAUGACAUUUGAUGCGUGUGGCAGUUUCACAAUCUGCCACACGGUUGCCAUAUACAUAUUUCGUUAUCUAAAUAGUGUGUGGAAUUGUUUACACAGAUGAACAAAACAUUACUUGAAGUAGAGGUUCUGCCAAAAGAAAGAAAGAGCAUCUUGCAGGUUCAAGUUUGAGUAGUUGAGCCAGACAAUUUAUCGUAGGCGUUGUAUGUAAUAAUAAUUUAAUUAUUUUCAUAGGAGUACGACUCAUAGUAUCGGCAUGGAGGUCGUGAACAAAAGCAGAAGUAUCCUUAAUUUUUUAUUAGUGAUUGUAAUUUUCCUUAUAAAGAACAUACUACUCUCGUGUAAACCCAUCCCUCUACAUAUGUACUGUCAGUUUUUUGCAAAUCGAACAAAUUGCGUAUGUAGCAAGUGCUAGUAUCUUGAAAUGCAGUUAUGCGUAUGCCCCUAAGAGUAGGUGAAUAGAAAACUCGAACCAAAAAUGGCUUUCUCCUAAUAGUAAUCGUGCUAGAACUCAUUCAAAGCUGAAGUGAACUAUAAUUAUAACCAGCCUUUGUCAAUAGAAGUCCUACUGAUCACAAAUUCCUCUAAUUUCCUCCAGACUCAAGAUCAAGAUGGUGGACAGUGCACGGAUAUUACAAAAUUAACAAUUCACAAUACGAAUUAAAUAUCACAAAUUGCAAGGUACAAGUUUUGAGCACAUACAAUCUUUCAUUGGUAGGCAACACUACAACUUUGGAGGUCAACACAUUAGGCAAACUCUUUGGAAUUAAGAUAGUGAAAAGUAAAUGUAUGCGAAAGCAAGCUUCAGUUCAGUAAACCAUCAAGCCCAGAUUGCUGCACUCCGAAUUUCCUUUAGACUUGUACGCUACCUUCAGGUCAGCAAGCUUUAUGUUCAGCAAGUGUGUAACAAAACAAGAAUUGAACUGGAAUAGAAUUUGAAAUUUGAACUGAAAUACAAUACGAAAACUAAACUGAGUGUACUUUCAGAUUUUCACAUGGGCAUCAGUGCAUGAAGCACCAAUGAAAUUGAACUGAAACAAACUUCAGUUCAACAAACUUAUAUGAAGUUAUAUGAAGCAUGCUUGAAUGCGUUGACCCGAAGCAUGCUUGUAGGAGAGUAGUGGCACUGGAAGCGAGCCUUUUGCUGAACUUAUAUGAAGUUAUAUGAACUUGUCUAACUUAUAUGGAACUUAUAUGAAGCCUUUUGCUGAACUUAUAUGAAGUUGACCAGACAAGAUGAUACCGAGGCGCAUCAGAAUAUAGGAGAGUGGUGAUGCAAGUCAGUCACCGGCUGGGUAAUGAAGCGGGUGGUAUGCGGCAUGGAGACAACCAGAAAACGGGACAUCCAGGGGUAGGGAGCAUCGUCGCUGAAGAUCAGAGAGUGUGGAGCGCAGGCGUGCAGUGUCCCCCGGCCGGCACCGGAGACGAAGGAGAUCGGGGAUAGUGCACUUUUUUCGUCAGCCUACAAGAUGCUCAAGGACCAGGACAACAUGUAGUUUCAGAAUUACAGAUUGUGGUCAGCUAUAGGAUGUUUCUGGGACCAUGUUUUAGCUACGAGAGAGCAACAACAUCACAUCAUGAGAGAGAGGAUGCAACAUCAAAAAUUCAGGAGAAAGAUCAGAGCAGAGCAGAAGUAAAUAUGUUUUGAGGAGAUGAACUGACCAGGAUUUAAAUGAACUCUCACUAGCAGUAAUUUUUGUACUUCGCAUGUAGUACUACAUGGACUUGCUGUAAAAUACAUUGACCAUGUAGUAAUUUUGAAGUUAAUUAUCACUACUGCAGAACCGGGCAAUAGCACCGGUUCGUAAGGCCCUUUGUGCCGGUUUCGGAAUCGGCACUAACAUUUCGGCACUAAAGCCCCCCCCCCCUUUAGCACCGGUUCAGCAUGAACCGGUGCUAAAGGGCAACCACGUGGCACGAGCCAGCUCCGGGGGCCGAGAGCCCUUUAGUACCGGUUGGUAACACCAAUCGGUACUAAAAUGUUUGGGGGGGUUUUGGUUUUAUGAUUUCUUUUUCAUUUAAUUUUGUGUUUUCCAUUUUAAUUCUUUUUCGUUUGCUGGUAUUUUACGGUACUACACAUUGUACACGUUAUGCAUAUAUAUAUAUAUAGAAUUUCUAGUAGAACCAAUCAUAUAUAUAUCAUCAAUGUCUCACAAACCACCAUAUUAAUUUACACAUACACACAUGUAUAGCUAUAUACAAUUUCUCCUACAUAUGCAUGUUGCCUUCGGAGCCAGUUGCAUUAGCCUAAUUGGUGCCUUCGGAGCACGAUGACAAUUGGAAGUGGUUCAUGACCUGUUCGAUGGGGGCGGUAGCGGGUAAUAGUAUUCUCCCUUCGGAUUUAUGACCUGGUCGAGCAAAAAUCCCGCUAUUUCCUCUUGAAGUGCUUCUACGCGCUCCAUUUCUAGGAGCUUGUCCCGCACCUCUUUGAACUGUUAAGAAGGAGAUCGAUAUGCAUGUGUAUUAGUUGUGUGACUAGAUAUCGAUAAUGGUGUAAAAAUUAUGAAUAGUGUUCUAACAAGAGUACCCAUUCCUGUCUUUGAGAUCUGCUCCUUUCGGAUGCCAUCAUGCGAAUGUUCUCGCAAAUGCAGAAUGCACACAGAUUAGUCCCCUACGCCUGCUUCAGGGCCUUUAUUACGAGAAUGGAAUUUAAUUUGAUCAGAUAAUAAUUAAUCAAGCAUGAUAAUUAAUGAGAUGGCAACUAGCUAGCUAGGUAGUACUACUUAAUUUGAUCGAAUACUACAGAAGAAUCUAGGACACUCGCGGUUCCUAUGGCGCGGGCGGUGGACACCCAAAGAGAAGGAACCCUCACAGGAUCAUAGCUGAAGUGAGAUCCCUGAAGAAACUGCCAGGUAUUGGAGAACCUGACGCCCUCUAACGCAACCAUGUAGCGAUGGACGUGCUCGUCCUCCUCCCUGACACGACAACGUACCACCUCCGGCAGGGCUGGUUCCCUCCGCACCGAAACUGGCCCACGCGAACGCAACCAAACGAGAUCAGGGUCGACGACGGGACCCGGGGCCGGGUUCCUCAUCAAGCGGCGCGCCCCUCCAAGCAGCACCUCCCAGUGCCAGCCCGGCGGAGCCCAGUCCCGGACAUGGGUCAGCUGGACGUCGUCGCGGACGUAUCGACGGCGAGGAUGCGGGCCGGGCAUCGUCGACAACAAAUACUAGCUAUAUGCCCGCAAAAAGUAACAUUUUUUUAAUGAUUGGAUUUUGAUAACUAAAAUUUCUAACAUUCUAUAACAUUUCUAACAAUGCUAUAUAUAACUAACAUUUCUAUAACAUUUCUAAUAUUUCUAUAACUAAAAAAAGAAAAAUUUCUAACUUUUUUAUAACUAUUUCUAUAACUAAAAAACAGAAAAAAUUCUAACAAUUCUAACUUUUUUAUAACUAUUUCUAUAACUAAAAAACAGAAAAAUUUCUAAUAAUUCUAACUUUUUUAUAACUAUUUCUAUAACUGAAAAACAGAAAAAAUUCUAACAAUUCUGACAAUUCUAACAAUUCUAACAUUUCUAACAUUUCUAACUAUUGUAACAAUUCUAACAUUUCUAACUAUUUCUAAAAAACAGAAAAAUGUCUAACUAUUUCUGAAAAACAGAAAAAUCUAUAACUAAAAAUGUAUGUGUGUGUGUGCGNNNNNNNNNNNNNNNNNNNNNNNNNNNNNNNNNNNNNNNNNNNNNNNNNNNNNNNNNNNNNNNNNNNNNNNNNNNNNNNNNNNNNNNNNNNNNNNNNNNNNNNNNNNNNNNNNNNNNNNNNNNNNNNNNNNNNNNNNNNNNNNNNNNNNNNNNNNNNNNNNNNNNNNNNNNNNNNNNNNNNNNNNNNNNNNNNNNNNNNNNNNNNNNNNNNNNNNNNNNNNNNNNNNNNNNNNNNNNNNNNNNNNNNNNNNNNNNNNNNNNNNNNNNNNNNNNNNNNNNNNNNNNNNNNNNNNNNNNNNNNNNNNNNNNNNNNNNNNNNNNNNNNNNNNNNNNNNNNNNNNNNNNNNNNNNNNNNNNNNNNNNNNNNNNNNNNNNNNNNNNNNNNNNNNNNNNNNNNNNNNNNNNNNNNNNNNNNNNNNNNNNNNNNNNNNNNNNNNNNNNNNNNNNNNNNNNNNNNNNNNNNNNNNNNNNNNNNNNNNNNNNNNNNNNNNNNNNNNNNNNNNNNNNNNNNNNNNNNNNNNNNNNNNNNNNNNNNNNNCGAGAGGCGACGGGGGGCGCGCGGCGACGGGGACGGCGACGGGCGCGGCGACGACGGGAACGGGGACGUACGGGCCGGGGCGGCGAUGACGACGGGGACGGUGACGACGCGGCCGGGACGGGGCGGCGGUGACGACGGGGACGGGACGACGGAGCGGCGACGACGGGGACGGGGCGGCGACGGGGGCGGCGACGGGCCGGGGCGGCGACGAGGGAUAUGGAGACGGCAGGGGCGGCGUGCGAUGGUGCAGAGGAGAAGAAGCAGACGGAGAGAUGAGAAACUGACGAAAUUUUGAAGUGUUUUCUUAUAUAGAACCCACCUUUAGUACCGGUUGGAGCCACCAACCGCUACUAAAGGUCUGUUUUGGCUAGCCCAAGCGGCGGGAAGCGACCCCCUUUAGUACCGGUUGGUGGCUCCAACCGGUACUAAAGGCCCCCCCUUUAGUACCGGUUGGUUCCACGACCCGGUACUAAAGGGUGUGCACUGCCAGGCGAGGGGCACAAAAGUUUAGUCCCACCUCGCUAGCCGAGGGGCACUCGCACCUGCUUAUAAGUCCCGCCGUCGCUGCUGUCUCGAGCUCCUCUCUUAAGCAGGCCUACUGGGCCUACCUCUUCUGCGAUGCCCUGUUGGGCCUACUGGGCUAGCGGGCCUGCAUCCUGGUCCAACUUGAAUUUGGGUUUCUAGUCGUAUGCAGGCCGCUGUGGCCCAGUAGGUGGGCUUUCUUUUCUUAUUUUUUUGCUUUAUUUAUUUUUGUGAAUAACUUAACUUUGAAAAUAUAUUUUUCAGUGAUUCUUUUUUCUUAUGUUUAAUAUUAGUGUGUUUUAUCAUUAUAUUCAAUUUGGUAAUGCUUAGGUUAUUUAAAAAAUGAAAUGCCUUUGUAACGGAUGAGUUUUCGUCCGAAACCCUGAUACUUCGAAACAGAUUGUCCAUUUUGUACACGAAGUGCAUCCAGUUUUUGCGGUAACCCUCUCUACUUUUUUGCACAUGCUAUGUGGGUGAAAUUAUGAUACCAUGCCAACUUUCAUCCUUUUCUGAGUUCAUUUGAAAUGCUUUUCAAUUUCAGGGUCAUUUAGCUGAAAAAAUCAGUAAAUGCAUGAAAGAAUUUGCUUGCACAUAAAAGUUCUUCACGUUUCAAAUGCCAAAACACAUAACUAGCUACCCUAACUAUUACAGAGAUUGCCUCCUGGGUGUGAAACACAGAAGAAAGUGAUGAUAGUUAAGCCGAUCACAUCCCAGAUCUUUGGGUGUGAAACUUUUUCUUCGCGUGUGUCCUUUUGCAUCGUAGCCAUGGAAAAUCUUCAUCAUUUAACGGGAUGCUCGGGUCAAUAUUCACUGUGAAUGGAGCAAUCUCAUCAAACUUUUCAUAAUCUUCUGACUUGUCUGUCUUGUCAUCCACUCCCACGAUGUUUCUCUUCCCAUAAAGAACUAUGUGCCUCUUUGGCUCAUCGUACGAUGCAUUCGCUUCCUUAUCUUUUCUUUUUCUUGGCUUGAUAGACAUGUCCUUCACAUAGAAAACUUGUGCCACAUCAUUGGCUAGGACGAAUGGUUCGUCUGCAUACGCAAGAUUGUUGAGAUCCACUGUUGUCAUUCCGUACUGCGGGUCUUCCGUUACCCCGCCUCGUGUCAUAUUGACCCAUUUGCACCGAAACAAAGGGACCUUCAAACCACGUCGAUAGUCAAGUUCCCAUAUGUCCUGUAUAUAACCAUAAUAUGUUUCCUUUCCCGUCUUGGUUUCUGCAUCAAAGCGGACACCACUGUUUUGGUUGGUGCUCUUCUUAUCUUGGGCGGUCGUGUAAAAUGUAUUCAUUUAUCUCGUACCCUUUGAAAGUCAUUAUAUUCGAAGAUGGUAACUGGGACAGCAAGUACAGGUCAUCUUCAAUAGAGGUGUCAUGCAUGGUACGUGCUUGCAACCAGCUGGCGAAACUCCUGGUUUGUUCACGUGUAAUCCAGUCAUCAGACCGCUUCGGGUGUUUGGAGCAUAGCAAAUUCUUGUGUUCAUCCAUAUACGGAGCCACCAAGGCGGAAUUCUGUAGAACUGUGUAGUGUGCUUCAGUGAGAGAAUGUCCGUCCAUACAUAUUAUUUGUUCCCCUCCUAGCGUGCCUUUUCCAUCUAGUCUGCCCUUAUGCCGCGAUUCAGGAACACCAAUCGGCUUAAGGUCAGGAAUAAAGUCAAUACAAAACUCAAUGACCUCCUCAUUUUGACGGCCCUUAGAGAUGCUUCCUUCUGGCCUAGCACGGUUAUGAACAUAUUUCUUUAAGACUCCCAUGAACCUCUCAAAGGGGAACAUAUUGUGUAUAAAUACAGGACCCAAAACGUUAAUCUCUUCGCAUAGGUGAACUAGGACGUGCGUCAUGAUGUUGAAGAAGGAUGGUGAGAACACCAACUCGAAACUGACAAGACAUUGCACCAAAUCAUUCUGUAACCUUGGUAUGAUUUCUGGAUCGAUUACCUUCUGAGAGAUUGCAUUGAGAAAUGCACAUAGCUUCACAAUGGCUAAUCGAACAUUUUCCGGUAGAAGCCCCCUCAAUGCAACCGGAAGCAGUUGCGUCAUAAUCACGUGGCAAUCAUGAGACUUUAGGUUCUGGAACUUUUUCUCUGCCAUGUUUAUUAUUCCCUUUAUAUUUGACGAGAAGCCAGACGGUACCUUAAUACUAAACCCGGGCAUGGGCAGCCCGGCCCAACGACCCGGCCCGAGCCCGGCCCGAAAAACUCGGGCCGGGCCGGGCCGGGCUUGACAUUCGGGCCGGGCUCGGGCUUUGUUUUUCAGCCCGAAAGAUAGUUCGGGCCGGGCUCGGGCUUUAAUUUUUCCGUAUUUCGGGCCGGGCUUUCGGGCUUCGGGCCGGGCUUGCACGUGCGCGUACUAAAAAACAACAUUCGGGCCGGGCUUUCGGGCUUCGGGCUUGAUUUCGGGCCGGGCUCGGGCUUGAAAAUGUGGAGUAUUUCGGGCUUCGGGCCGGGCUUGGGCUUGAGAAAUGAAGGUCGGGCUUUUACAAGCUCGGCCCGAAACCCGGCCCGGCCCGACGUUUGCCCAGGUUUACUUAAUACUGAGCAGGCAUUCAAAGAAGAUUUCCUUCUCUUCUUUGGUAAGAGCGUAGCUUGCAUGACCCUGAUGUAUGCCGUCUUUUUCGUGCAUACGUUGCUGGUCCUCCCGUGCCUCAGGUGUAUCUUUUGUCUUCCCAUACACGCCCAAGAAGCCAAGCAGGGUCACACAAAGAUUCUUCGUCACGUGCAUCACGUCGAUUGCGGAGCGGACCUCAAGGUCUUUCCAAUAGGGCAGGUCCCAAAAUAUAGAUUUCUUCUUCCACAUGGGUGCGCGUCCGUCAGCGUCAUUCGGAACAGAUUGUCCACCAGGACCCUUUCCAAAGACCACCUUCAAAUCCUUGACCAUAUCAUGUACAUCAGCACCAGUACGAUGGCGAGGCUUCGUCUGGUGAUCCGCCUCACCUUUGAAAUGCUUGCCUUUCUUUCUUACGGGAUGCCUGCUCGGAAGAAAUCGACGAUGUCCCAGGUACACAUUCUUAUUAGCCAAAUAUAUACUGUCGGUAUCGUCCAAACAGUGCGUGCAUGCACGGUAUCCCUUGUUUGUCUGUCCUGAAAGGUUACUGGGAGCAGGCCAAUCAUUGAUGGUCACGAACAGCAACGCCUUUAGGUCAAAUUCUUCCCCCAUGUGCUCAUCCCACGCACGUACACCUGUUCCAUUCUACAGUUGUAAGAGUUCUUCAACUAAUGGCCUUAGGUACACAUCAAUGUCGUUGCCGGGUUGCUUAGGGCCUUGGAUGAGCACUGACAUCAUAAUGAACUUUCGCUUCAUGCACAACCAAGGAGGAAGGUUAUACAAACAUAGAGUCACAGGCCAGGUGCUAUGGUUGCUGCUCUGCUCCCCAAAAGUAUUAAUGCCAUCUGCGCUUAGACCAAACCAUACGCUCCUUGCAUCAUCUGCAAACUCCUUCCCGUACUUUCUUUCGAUUUUUCUCCACUGUGACCCGUCAGCGGGUACUCUCAACUUUCCGUCUUUCUUACGGUCUUCUCUGUGCCAUCGCAUCGCCUUGGCAUGCUCUUUGUUUUGGAACGAACGUUUCAACCGUGGUAUUAUAGGAGCAUACCACAUCACCUUGGCAGGAAUCUUCUUCCUGGGGCGCCGGCCCUCGACAUCACCAGGGUCAUCGCGGCUGAUCUUAUAGCGCAAUGCACCACAUACCGGGCAAGCGUUCAAAUCCUCGUACUCACCGCGGUAGAGGAUGCAAUCAUUAGGGCAUGCAUGUAUCUUCUGCACCUCUAACCCUAGAGGGCAGACAACCUUCUUUGCUUCGUACGUACUCUCGGGCAAUUCGUUGUCCUUUGGAAGCAUAUCCUUUAUCAUUACCAGCAACUUUCCAAAUCCCUUGUCAGAUACACCAUUCUCUGCCUUCCAUUGCAGCAAUUCCAGUGUGGUGCCCAGCUUUUUCUUGUCACCUACGCAAUUCGGGUACAACAAUUUUUUGUGAUCCUCUAACAUGCGCUGCAACUUCUUCUUCUCCAAAUCACUUGCGCAGUUUCUCUUUGCAUCGGCAAUGGCCCGACCUAGAUCAUCAACGGGCUCAUCUGAUGCCUCUUCUUCAGCUUCUUCCCGCAUUGCCGGCUCAGCUUCUUCCCGCAUUACCGGCUCAGCUUCUUCCCCCAUUGUUGUAUCAUCAUAUUCAGGGAACCCAUGGCCAGGAUAGCUGUCGUCGUCCUCUUCUUAUUCAUUGUCUUCCAUCAUAACCCCUAUUUCUCCGUGCUUGGUCCAAACAUUGUAAUGGGGCAUGAAACCGGACUUAAACAGGUGGACGUGAAUGGUUCUUGACGUAGAGUAAUUGUGACCAUUCUUACAGCGAGCACAUGGACAAGGCAUAAAACCAUCCGCCUGCUUGUUUGCCUCAGCCGCAAGCAGAAAAGUAUGCACGCCCUCAACGAACUGGGGAGAGCAUCGGUCAUCGUACAUCCAUUGCCGGCUCAUCUUCAUUACACAACACCGAAUAGACCAAAUUAAUACAAGUUCAUACAUAAAGUUCAUACAACACUUAAAUGCAACAAACAAAUAACUCUCUAGCUAAAGCAUUUAAAUGCAACAACAAAUACGAUCAAGAUCGCAACUAAGGUAACAAUGGAUCCAACAGCAUAAUGAUACCAAGCCUCACUAUCGAUGGCAUAUUUUCUAAUCUUUCUAAUCUUCAAGCGCAUUUUCUCCAUCUUCAUCUCGUGAUCAUCGACGACAUCGGCAACAUGCAACUCCAAUUCCAUCUUCUCCCCCUCAAUUCUUUCAAUUUUUCUUUCAAGUACUCGUUUUCUCUUUCAACUAAAUUUAACCUCUCGGCAAUAGGGUCGGUUGGAAUUUACGGUUCACAUACCUCCUAGAAAAAAUUUCUAUGUCAACUUGAUGGGCAUAAUUUGUCAUAAACACAAAAUGCAACUAGUUUUAAAAGAGAAUAUACAUACCACACCCGAAUCAUAACAAGGACUAGGGCCGACGGGGACGGAUAUCAAAACCAUAGCACUAUAUGUAUAACAAACAACGUACGGGUAAGAUAAUUAUACGAGUAACUAUAUAUCCAAAUCACACAAACAUCAAUUUUUAUAUAAAAUUUCAUGAACUAGAGGCUCACCACAAGGUGGUGCCGGCGACGGGACGGUGCGGGCGAUCGACGGUGGCUACGAUGGAGAUUUAGAAGGCACUAAGUAAACCACACCUACAUAUGCAAACUAAGUGUUAUUUUUGACCUCAAAUUGCAUAUAAAUCAAAUACUAGCACAUAUAUAUAUAUAUCCUCCCAAAUUACUAAAAUCACAAAUUAAUCACUAUAUAAAGCAUUGCAAGAGCUAAUCUAGCAAUGAGAGAUGAAAGGACAAAGUUGCUAACCUUUGUGAUCAUUUGAAUGGAUGGGGGCCUUCAAAUCUUGACAAAUUUUGGGCAAAAUGUGUGAUGAGCUCGAGAGGAAGAGGGGAAGAACAGAGAGGAGAGGGGAAAGGGGAAUAAUAGAGUGAGCUUGGGUGGACGAAGGGUCUAUGUAGGACGACCUUUAGUACCGGUUCGUGCCAAGAACCGGUACUAAAGGGGCUGGAGGGGCACCUGUCUGACAACAUCCUGCCACCACUCUCAUUAGUACCGGUUCGUUGCACGAAGCAGUGCUAAAGGUUCGCCACGAACCGGUACUAAUGAAAGCGGCCCGGCUAGCCGUUGGAACCGGCACUAAUGUAUACAUUAGUGCUGGCUCAAAUACAAACCGGCACUAAUGUGCUUCACGUUUGACCCUUUUUCUACUAGUGUAUAUGAUCAUCUCAAAGAGCUCAAGUUGUACUGAAAGCUCAAGUUGGACUAAAACUCACUCGAUAACUGAAAAUCCUAGGGCGAGGGGUGGGAUCCAGGGUGCUGCUAGCAAUGAACGGCCUGGGGUGGUGGCGUUGAACGGCCUGGAGUGGUGGCUGUGAACAGCCAGGGUGCUCCGGUGGCAGAGCCCCACCGGAGAUGGUGAUGCAAGCAGGAGGUCGGGAAGCAGUGGUGCCGGUGGUCGGGGUCGUCCAAUGCACAUGGCACACCAGUACAGGAAGUUGAUUCAUCACCCAUCCAUAGUUUUUUUCCUUUUUGGAAUCCAUUGAACUGAAAAAAGCUACAUGUGAGCUGAAAGUAUGAAAAUAACAUAUCUUUGAAAGAAUAAAGAACUAGCUUUAACAUAUCUAUGAAAGAAUACACCUCCGAGGAACUAGCUUUGAACAUAUCUCUGAAAGAAUAGAGAGCAUGCAAAGUUCAAGGAAAGAAUAAGCAAAAUGGCACACUAGUACGCAGUAGUACGAGUCCAGUCAUGUACGUGCUAGUAUUAGGUUUGAAUAGUAGCUAGAAUUGAAGUUCAGGUAACCAUGGCACACACAUCAUACAGUUUCAAUCAUGUAUGCACACACUGUAAUAGUAGCUGCAAUUAAAGUUCAAAUAACCACGGCACCCAUAACAGAACAAGAAUCAGUGUAGCAGCUAGGCAAGCAAGCUUCAUCAGCAUGAAUACACAUCAGCGGCAAGCUAGAACACGCUAGUAGGCUGUAGAAGUCUCCUUGUAAUUUUUCAAACAGAAGUGCUUUAGUUCAGUUCAGUAGUAAGGCAUGGAAAAAGAAAAGCAAUGGAAUAAACUAUAACUGAGCCAAAUAUGUAAUUUCAACAAACUAGACCUCAUUGCUUGACUUCAGUAGUAAUACACGAUCAUCAGUUCAAUAUAAACAUACUGAUGUUAACAUCAUCGUACAUCCAUUGCCGGUUCAUCUGCGUGCAUUAUAUAUAAUUAAGUGUGUCAAAAACCAUUACAGAACAGCAUGAAUAUAGAAGACCAAAUUAAUAGGAGUUCAUCAUCACAUUAAAACCAAAGUACAAUAGUGAUCAAAUGUUAUUACUGAAAAAAUAAAUACAUAAAGUUCAUACAUAUAUAUUUCUCAUUGAAAAACAUAUAUAUAGCUCUCUAGAGCAUCUAAUUAAACCAUACAUUGAAACAAUGCAAAAACAUUUCAAUGCAACAACAAAUGCGAUCAUAAUCGCAACUAAGGUAACAAUUGAUCCAACGGCAUAAUGAUGUCAAGCCUCGGUAUGAAUGGCAUAUUUUCUGAUCUUUCUAAUCUUCAAGCGCAUUGCAUCCAUCUUGAUCUUGUGAUCAUUGACGACAUCCGCAACAUGCAACUCAAAUCCCAUCUUCUCCUCCUUAAUUCUUUUCAAUUUUUUCUUCAGGUAAUUGUUUUCUUCUUCAACUAAAUUUAACCUCUCAACAAUAGGGUCGGUUGGUAUUUCCGGUUCACAUACCUCCUUGAUAAAAACAUCUAUGUCACGUUGGUCGGCAUAAUUUUCAUACACACUAAAUGAACAAAAUAGUUAUAAAAUAUAAUAUAUACCACAUCCGAAUCAUAGACAGGACGAGGGCCGACGGAGGCGGAUACCAAAACCAUCGCACUAUAUAAUAACAAAAAAUAAUAAAAGUAAGAAAAUUAUACAAGUAUCUAUCUAAAUCAUACAAGUAAGAACUUUUUUCUUUUAGAAGAUAAGAACAAGAGGCUCACCACGGUGGUGCCGACGACGAGAUUAGCACGGGCGAUCGACGGCGGUGAGGACGGGGACGGGACAGGAUGGACCGCCAAACCUAGACAAAUCUUAAGGAAAAUGGAGUUUGGACAAGGAGCUUCGAGAGGAGAAAGCUUAAGUAUGUCUCGGGCAUUUCACCGAACACCUCAUGUGCAUAGGAGGUGAGCUAGAGCACCACAAAGCUCUCCCACGGCCGGCCAAAAAAUAGAGCAAUGCACUGCUCUGCUCGCGGGCAGGGGGAUAUAUAGGCCUCUCUUUAGUCCCGAUUUGUGGCUAGAACCGGGACUAAAGGACCCCAUUUGGUCCCAGUUCCAACCACCAACCAGGAUUAAAGUUUGUGGGCCAGGACCGAGGCCCAUUGGUCCUGGUUCGUGUCUGGAAGCGGGACCAAAGGGGUCAGACGAAUCGGGACCAAUGGCCCCCGAGGCCCGGCCGGCGCCCUGGCUUUACGAACCGGGAUUGAUGCACCCAUUAGUCCCGGUUCAUAGGGAAUCCGGGAUUAAUGCCCUUUUUAGACCUGGACCAAAGCCCUAUUUUCUACUAGUGUUGUAGGCCUCGCUCACAUGAAGUAAGAACGGUCGGUGACGAUGCCUCAUAAAGUCCAUGUGGUGCAAUCAUAGUUGGUGGUGCAGGGGAAGAAGUAACCUUCUUUGAUGGGGAUUCCAUCACACGCUUGUUCGUCAUGUAGACGCGUCCUCUUAAUUUCUGUUCAGCUUUACAGGCAAGAUGAAACAAAUGAUCGAUAGAAUAUAGUCUUCAUGCAUUAUUAUGUCUUGUAUAUCAUGUAUAUCAUGCAUUAAUCUAAGCCCAGAUACUGAAUCAAGCGAGAGGGAACUAACGAAAAUAUAAUAGCUCCAAGUAGCUAGAUAUAAGUGAGGUAUGAACAUAGUGUAUGGCAACCAAGAGCAGACAAAAAAAUCCAACACUUAUCACUUAUAUGAACAGAGCAGGCUGAACAGCAAAAGAGAUUGUUCAAAAGAUGCUAGGUGGCCAAAACUUUGCAUCAACUUUUUUUUUAUUCUUUUUUCUGAAUUUUUUUUUUCAACUUUCAGGCCGGCCGCUAGUAGAAGUCACGUACACAAAUAUCUGACCAAAUAGGUAUGAAGGGGUGGCCGGGGCACGUCCGGUGUAGCCCAUCGGCGCUGUCCAGCGGUAAAAGAUCUCAUGCCAUUGCUGAAAUUCACGUCCCCCACCCAGGGCAUUUUGGUCAUUUCGCAUAUGUGCCCUUUUCCGAUUCUCUGCCUCCUCCCCCAAUGAGUACCUCCCUCAUUUUUCUCUCCCUCACAUCUCUCUCGAGAGAGAGCCGCCGCUGCCAGUCAUCCUCCCCGUCCGCCGCCGCCGCCGCCAACCAUCCGCAGCCGCGCCACCAUCCCCUCCCCGUUCCACUCCCAUAACUGAGCCAGCCAUGGCCGGGAAGAAGUGCAAGUCCUCUUCCUUCCUCCCUCACCCCUGAUCUGAAUCCUCUCCCGAAACCCCAGCUAGCUGCAUGCAUCCCAUAUGGCGCCGCCCAGCUCGCAGCCCUCGGCCGCCGAGCCAUCGCGAGGCUCCUCGCGCAAGCGCACGACCUCCUCAAAGGCUGCGCCCGAGGCCGACCUGGAGUUCACCGUCACCAAGGAAAGGUAAGGGGAGGGGAGGGGAUGGAAGGGAUCGAGCGACCAGGUGAGGCAGCGCCCAGAUCCACGGGGCCAUCGACACUUCAUCAUCGACCUCAUCCGCGACCGUCCUCGAGGUCGGCCAUGGUGGUCUGGCCCGGCAACAGCCAUGGAAGGAGACGCCCGAAUCCCUGGCCCUCCAAGUACGCGCCUGCUGCAGGCCAUCUCCGGCGAGCUCAUCCACAGAUCUCCAACUAUGGUGCGUGCGCAUGAUACCUAAACCCCUUGUCUUGUCAGUUUCUUCAUCUCCCUUCCUUGUGAUUCCUUGGUUUGUUUUGUGCGCAGUUGCUCCGAUCUGGAAGAGGUGGUGGAGCUUUUGUUGUUGCUGCUGCAGGUGGACGAGGCACCACCCCCUCUUUCUACUUCUGGACACAACCUGGUGGUGAUUGCUAAUUUCAGUGUUAAAAAAUUCAGUUCAAUUCAGUCAUGUUCUUUUCCUUUUGUGGGGAAAUUCAGUCACAUUCAAUGUUCAACUUUUAGAGUUAACAAACUGUUGUUAUGACCACUGUGGUUUAGAUGUUCAGAAAUUCAGACAAGUGGUAUGAUGAAAUGAGCCACCUUUUAACCCCCUAGUAAACCUACCGUGAACGUUUAGAGAGCCAAUGCAGGGAGGUGUGGACAUUUUACCAUGUUCAUAGGAAGAAAUCAACAUAAAAUACACAGCUUGUAGAUGAUUCGUCAACCACCAUCAAACACGACUUGUAACUUUCUGGACUAAACUGAACCGUGCAAUUGACUCAAAAUAAAACUAAACCGUGCAAUUGACUCAAAAAUAAAUAGUAAAUAUACUUUGGUUGUGUCUGCAGAAUUGCAUUAUGGAAAGAUGUGUGUGAGGUUACCCCAUCGCCACUGGUUCCAACUUUGUCCAUCAUGUCGCUCUGAUGAGAAGACCUCGUCCAUGUUUCAUUAAUAGGGCAGAGUGCUGCUGAAGUAUCUAUGUUGAACAAUUAUAACAGUACCAAGUAAGUUUGCUCCAAUUGCAUUUGAUGCAGAAGGCACAACACCGCCAUCAUGCGUCAGGUUCAGUAGAAGGCACGACACCGCCACGCUCUCCUCCACUACAACGCCACGCACCCGGUAAUUAAACAUGCUUUCUCUUCAUUCAAGUAGUAAGAGNNNNNNNNNNNNNNNNNNNNNNNNNNNNNNNNNNNNNNNNNNNNNNNNNNNNNNNNNNNNNNNNNNNNNNNNNNNNNNNNNNNNNNNNNNNNNNNNNNNNNNNNNNNNNNNNNNNNNNNNNNNNNNNNNNNNNNNNNNNNNNNNNNNNNNNNNNNNNNNNNNNNNNNNNNNNNNNNNNNNNNNNNNNNNNNNNNNNNNNNNNNNNNNNNNNNNNNNNNNNNNNNNNNNNNNNNNNNNNNNNNNNNNNNNNNNNNNNNNNNNNNNNNNNNNNNNNNNNNNNNNNNNNNNNNNNNNNNNNNNNNNNNNNNNNNNNNNNNNNNNNNNNNNNNNNNNNNNNNNNNNNNNNNNNNNNNNNNNNNNNNNNNNNNNNNNNNNNNNNNNNNNNNNNNNNNNNNNNNNNNNNNNNNNNNNNNNNNNNNNNNNNNNNNNNNNNNNNNNNNNNNNNNNNNNNNNNNNNNNNNNNNNNNNNNNNNNNNNNNNNNNNNNNNNNNNNNNNNNNNNNNNNNNNNNNNNNNNNNNNNNNNNNNNNNNNNNNNNNNNNNNNNNNNGUGCCAGCGAACCCAGGCCACACCCAACGCGCUGGGGGGCUGCUAGGGCCGCCGGCGGAAGCAACAGCCAAUCAUAUUCCUCCAUGUAUCAUUUUUUUCUGGUCCACUCAUUCACUUUUUGCCUGGCGACUGUCCUGGGGGCACCAACGGCUGGGAAACCGUCCUCGCGUUUCAUUUGGCGAAGGUGUUUUGCCCCCCAGGACGUGCUAUAUUUGGCCCGGCGAUUGUCCUGGGGGGGGGGGCUCCAACGGCUGGAGAUGCUCUAAUUCAUUGUAUUUGCAUGUUUCCAGCAGCCAUGUAUCAAAAAAAGCUUCAGCUUUGGGUUGUUGAUUUAGCAGAAUCAAUCAUUAAUUGUUCUGCUAUAUAUGUUCUUAACCAUGACAACCUGAUUAGGCUCUUAGUUUAUUAUGGUCUUUGUUCUGGGUGGAUCUCUGACUAUUCUGGGUGGGCUUGAAUCUCUUCUUUGUUUCUUCAUCUCCUCUUAUUCUGAUUCCUGCGUUUGUUUUAUGUGAAGGUUGCUCCGAUGAGGACAAGCUGCUUCUGCAGGUGGAUGGGCCCUCAAGGCUGCUCUGCCUAUUCCUCCUGCUACCCCCACACGUGGUGAGCCCCACCCGUUCUCGAGCUACCCCUGCAAAUCUGAUGUGAUGUGCACAAAAUACUUGCAAUUGUUCUCGACACAAGAGCAUGUCAUGUAUUGUUUUAUUUGAAUGUGCAAUUUCAUUGCUUCUGUGUUGUUUGAUGCUUGCUUCACAAGAGGGAAAUCAUGGAUAUAAACUGCGCUUCCUUUCAAGUUGAAUAGUAAUGAUCACCAUUUGGUUCCAUUUUCUCCUCUGCAUCCAGUGUUCACUCUCUCAUAGAUGUCCAUAUAUACACAGUUCUGAUCUCCUUUUUCUGCGGCUCCAUACAUCGAACACAAAGCCGUCGAUGCAUUGAGGGCUCAAUGUCGUCUCCGUCGGCUGAGCGGCAAGCCGGGGUUGGGCCUGCACACCGUCUAUCAGCACCCUCCCGCGUCUCCAUUCACGGAUCUGCAGGUCAACCCCUCUUCUCCUCCUAUCCACGCAUCUUCUUUUCCAGAGCUAGGUGUAUGGUUGCAUGGCAAUUUGUGUUUUGGGGCUCACCAUGUUCUGCUUGCCCUGGUUGGCCAAUGAGGCUUUCCUUUUCUGGUAAAGGCCAAAUGUACUAUUCUCUAUGCUUUAUAUUUUUGUAGUUCCUUUGUUUCCAUGCUUGUUUUUUGAUGGGGUGUAAAUAUAUGCUUUUUUGUUCCUUGUCUGGAUUCAGGUAGGGCCUAACAUUAUUGUUCCUUUGUGCAUGGAAAUGUUGGUGGUUUUGUUCCUUUGUAUAUGGAAGGGGGCCUUGAUUAGAAUUUCUAACGUUUGAGUUGUAAUUAGUGUUUUUGUUACACAUGAAAACAUAUGGUUGUUUGUCCAAUCACAUAUGAAAAAGAGAUGAUUGUUUGUCCAACAAUUUUCUUUCUCUGUGAUAGUUUUACUAGAAAUAAAGUAUAGUCACUAUUACAUCCUAUUUUAUAUCUUGUUGUGUCGUGAUAUCUGUAUAGACUCUGUCUACGUCCUUUUGAUAUUCCAAGUUUUGUUUUCUAUGGCUCAAUUAGUUACCCCGUAUCAAGAGAAAUUUAACUGGUAUUUGCGGUAGAGUUAGCUGAAUUCAUGAAGCAAUGAUUUAGUUAUUAUUAAAGCUGAAACACAACAUGUUUUGACAAAUGCAUUCUAAGUAAAGCCUCCAACUAACAUAACCAAAAACAUAUUCUUUAGGUUUAUCAUCUAUUGAAGUAUUAUGUAGAAUUUUAAAUCAUACGAGGCAAAGCAAAUGAGCUCUAUGCACUUUCCAUGUAGCACAGAACAAAAAUAAUCAUGUAUAUUUUGGAUGCACCUAGAUAUACUCAUCAGCAAGGCUGAGGUUAUAGGGCACUCACCCACAUUGUCGAUAUCUCCGUCACUAUGAUCACCCACAUGAUGGACAAUUCCCUUCUUUCUUUUCUCUGUGGCUAUUGACACUUAAUGCUAUUACUGUGUGCAUAUAUGUACUGUGAUCCAUUCUCAUUCUUCAUAUCUUGAGAAACUAUCUCAAGAUACUCGCGUUUGUGUUUUGGAGAAAGCCUAUUCUAUGAUUAAUAUAUCGAGUAUGGAUGGCGCGAUAUCACCUCUCUUUAUGAUGAUGUUCUUACAGAAUAUAGGUUUUAUGGUAACACGUCUUAGCCAACACCUAUACUGAUGCUCAGACCAGAUGAUUAUAGUCUCUCCUUGCUAUUUUUCUUGAGGUGUGUACAUCUAUCUAGACAAUUUAAUUAAAAUAUAUAUUCCAUACAAACCAUCAAUACAUGUUAGUUGACUUUGAAACUAAUCAGUAAAAAGGUUGUCCCUUUCGCAUUUUAUGGACAUAAAGAUUUGGUGUUGACUGUCGAUCUUCAGUUAACACAUGACCUUACAACCGUAGGGAGUGGGAAAAAACUUAUAUGUUUGGCACAUUUGAAGAACAUAUCAUAGUAACGAAGUUUUGGUAAACAAUGUCCUAGAUCUCAACCAUAUAGAAAUACUAAAUAUAUGUUUAUUUGUAUAUGGAUUAAUUAUACAGACUUAUAAAACCUUGUGCAGGGCACAUAAAAGAAAUUUGAAAUAACUAUUAUUUCAAUAUUUGCUUUUUCAGUUGAGCAUAAUAGUUUAUAGCCUGAUAGGCUUGGACAUAAUUGUCUACAUGUACUGCUCAGUAGGCGACAUCCUUUGGGAAAUUGAGGAUGUCCUCGUGCAUUUUCUAAAUACAAUUGGGGCAUAUCUGAGGAAUGAAGGGAGGAAUAAACUCGUGGGAGAGUUCGGUGCAGAGGAAGAAGAACAAGAUAUUAUUUAUUUCUUGUGUACAGUCAAGCUUGUGCAUUGUCCCACUGUAAGUUAUUUCAACAAUAGUAGUAACUGUUAUCUCUGGCCAUCUGUUGCGACAUUUUCUUUAACCACCAAUGCAUAUUUAUUUUCUUGUUAAUAACUCUCAUAAUUGCCUGCUACUGUUUCAGUUCUGGGGCCAGGCAACCUUGAAUCCAACGUCCACCUGCAGGCUACAUCUCAGGUAGGAUAAAAAGAUUGCAGUGAACUUGAUGGGUAUAUCAUUAUUGUUGCCUCCUAAUUUGUGUGAUGAGCAAAUGUGUAGAUUGUGUGUAAAUCCGAGAUGCCUAAAACGGUUGGGAACUGAACUUGUUACCUCGGUUCACUUUAAUGGCAUGUUAAACUCGAUGCACUUUCUGGACUGUGACAUUUUUCCUGAAAUUUUGGAAGUGACUGCUAAUGUAGUCUAAAUAGAGUGACUGAGUAGUUACUUUCUCACAAGAGUUGACUUCCCGUUAUUGGAGUACUUGCUAAGAUGGAUUGGUGGUUUUUAUGUUAGAUGAAAAAUAUUACAUCAAUCUUUACGGCUUUUUAUGGGCAAGUGAUUCCGACUCCAUAAUAAGGAAUAAUAUAGCCCUAGUGCUGUGAUAAUGUUAAAACAUUUACCUCUUUUAUCGGUUCAUGUUAUGUAUUUGCUGCGAAAAAAUGGUCUUAUAUCAAAUAAUAGCCUAGAGCUUUUGGAGUGUUAUUACUUGUAUUUGUUGCUUGGAUGUAUAAACCUUCAACAGACUGUCAAUUUUGCUUUUAUAUAAUCUGUUUGUUUAAGUCUGCUGCAUAUUGGUCAAAAGCUCAUGCUAAUUGAUGAUGUUAGGUGAUGAUCUUGUAUCUAACAGUGAUUUCUGAAUGCAUGCUAAAGAAAACUCAUGAACAUCAUGGCGCCUUGUUGAUGGGGUGAUCAAUAGCUACUAUAUUGGGACCCUGCACUUAAAUUGUAGGUCUGAUUUUGUUUCGGAGUUCUCCUGCUACCCACAAGCUCAGAUAGUUCUUUUGUUUGUGCAGGGGAAAUUGCAAAGCAUAUUAUGAAUUGUUACAAGAAACUAUUUCUGCUGUUUUGGUGCAAGGAUGUUGCUUUUUAGUAUGCUUCCCGUAUCUUGGUAUCUUGGAAUAAUAAACAGAUAGAUGUCGUGUACCAAGAUUAUUCCUUGUUGUUAAGAGGGAUACAAAUAUUAUACAAGAAUUUUUCUGAUGACUCCUAAAGCAUAUUUGGAUAUAUAGCAAAGUAUAUUGUCGCUUCCCUGUUAGUAAAAUGAUUAUGUUAGAAAUUUGGUUGGCAGCCCCUACAUUUGGCUGAUUGCUAGCUGACUGGAUUACUCAUGUUUGCGGACUCUGGUAACUUAUGCCUACCAAGAACUACAUGAAUUUUGUGUCUUGCUGCAGUGAACAUUACCAAACUAAUUCUAAAGGUGUUAUAAUCAUGUUUUCUUUUGCAUUAUCAACUUUUAACUUUUGUCAUUUGUUGACACAUUCCUUUUGCAUUAUCAACUUUUAACUAUUGUCAUUUGUUAACAUGAUUAUUUAGCAUGUUCACUAUGCGAGUAGUAAUAAUAGGAGCUAUUUAUUUGCCAGAUAACUAACACUAUUCAUAAGGCAUAAGGGUUAGAAAAAGAACUGUAUUCUUUUUGUGAUGAUUUUCGUAUCACUACAAGAAAUGUGUUAAUACAUGACGGAUGCAAACUGUCACAGGUGUGCGCAAAACCGUCAAGGUAGCUCAGCCAUGACGGAUCCAAAAUUCAUCAUGUAUAUCGCGUCAUAAUUUGACCACCAUGCAGUCCAUGACGGAGCGCCAGAACCGUCAUGGAUCCAUGACGGUUCUUGACCGUCACAGCUUACUAUCAAAUAACGGCGUUAACCAUGCAUUCCACAUCAUCAUCUGACGUGGCGACCAACUUGGAAGCCCAUCUAGUAGUUUGCCCAAUUAGAAGUUUGGCCCACUUAAUUUCCACUCUAUCCAAGACCAUCGGCCCAUGUUUUCAUCAACCCAUAAGAAUAUUGGCCCAUUAAAUUUCAGGACGGUCCGAGGCCCACUAAUUUUGGUCGAGACAUUAGCUCGUCACUUUGUUUCUCUUGGUCCAUGUAAACUUUGAUGUAAUAAGAAUUUUUCUAAUUAUAUAUGCUCAUUGCCUUGUAAAUAAAUAUGGAAAUUGCAUAAACAAACCAAAUAAAUAACAUUUUUUUCAAUCAAAAGGAAGAAAUACACAACAAAAAACUUGAAAUUACGGAUGUGUUUCCAGAUCUGGCCUACUACUCUCCCUAAAGCUAUACAAUCUGCAGUCACCAUAUCAAGCGUCGGCCAGCGCUCGCGGGACGUCAAGAGGAGUUCAUCGCCAUGGCUUUUCUGGCCACAGAUCUGGCCGUGUCCGCUGGUGUCAUCGAAGGGAAACACCAUGUCCACCACCGUCUCGCGUCGACCCAUGCUCCUGUCCAGCUGACCUUCUCCACCGAUAGGGACAAUGGAAUCGUGGUUACCUGCGCAUCGAUGAACCAUACAGCACCUCGAAUAAUCAAAAGAAAAGGGAAGGGAGAAUCUGAAGCAACAGGGAGGGGAGAAUCUGAAUCGACAAAUGACUCAACCUGCAAAACUCGACGGACAAGCUAACGGCGAGGCCGGCAAAGGCCAUGAACGUAGGCCCGCACUGACGAAUGGGCUGCAGUGGCCCAGCAUGGAGCAGCCCCCGGCGGCGGCACGGCGCAGCCACCCGGCCAUCGCAGCACAACAUAACCGCCGCCAAGCCAGGGGACGGGGACGUGCGGCCAAAGCCACCGCCGCCAAGCACUCACAGGGGCCCAGCAUGGCAACCCCAGAAGGUGUGGAAGCAGCCUGAAUGUCACGGUGGCGAUGCUUUCCUCUGUGUGGCCUCCAAGCGCCUCGACCUGCACUCAAAUCGGGAGAACGGGAGGCUGAGAUGAGAGUUAACAUCGAAGAAGGAAGAAGGAAAUAAAGUCCGAGCGGCGUCCGAGCGCAUCAACCUCAACAUCCAUCGCCUGCUCAUAGAGAUGGAAGGAGGCAGAUCUGGACGGAGGAAGAGGAACGACAGGUGAAGUCAUUGCUCGGUGGAAGAGAAUAUAGCUGGCCAAACGGGCCGGGAUAGUUGGGCCGGCCCGGUAGCACGGCCGGCACGGCACGGCACGUGCUAAACGGGCCAGGCCCGGCACGCAGCACGCCAUGGGCCGUGCCUGGGCCUGAAAGGCGAGCACGCGGGCUGGCACGGCACGGCCCGAUUAACUUUUUUAUAUUUUUUUAUGUAUCCUAAUAUGGGCCAACAGGUAAAAAUAGGCUAAAAACGCUCAAUGCGCAAAAUAGGAGGUAGAUUAGUGGGCCUGGCGUGCUGGUGGGCCGGCCCGAUUAGCAUAGGGGUCGUGCCUGGGCUGCAGGCUGCAGCACGCGGGCUGGCACGGCACGGCCCGUAUAAUAAUCGUGCCUAGGCGGGCCGGGCCGUGCCAGGCACGAUUAGGAUGGGCCGUGCCGUGCCGGGCCGGGCCGGCCCGUUUGGCCAGCUAUAGAAGAGAAGACGGCGGCGUGUGGGGUCUAGGAUAAAGGAGUGGAGACAGAGAGACCGUGUGCUCGCCGUCGGAUCUGCGAGAACGGGCGGCUAGGAUGCAUGAUCCGCAUGAUGCUCGGAUCAACCAAUCAGGAUAGAGCAUUUGUAUCACGCCGGAUCCACGCCUCCUCGGCUGGGAAACCCAAGUGGGCCGGCCAGGAAUUCUGAACAUUUUUAGUUUUGUGUUUUCUUUUUCCCUUUUCCCUUAUUUUCUAUACUCCCUUUUUCUUACUGAAUCAAUAACUCCUGAAAGUCAGAUUUUGAGAAUCUCGCCCUGAACGCCUUGUCACCACUGGUCCAGGCGCAUGCAACUUGGCGCAAGAAUAUCAGAGAUGUCACACAUUUUUCGUUCGGAAAAGAAACGAUACAUCAAGAGCACACACGUAUCCCCUUUGCCCACCACACACUCCCCCUCCCCCCUCGCUUCGUAUUUUUCUCUCCGGUGUCCACGACGACGUGUACCGUCUCGGAGCAAGGGACGGAGGCCAAAGCCCAGAGNNNNNNNNNNNNNNNNNNNNNNNNNNNNNNNNNNNNNNNNNNNNNNNNNNNNNNNNNNNNNNNNNNNNNNNNNNNNNNNNNNNNNNNNNNNNNNNNNNNNNNNNNNNNNNNNNNNNNNNNNNNNNNNNNNNNNNNNNNNNNNNNNNNNNNNNNNNNNNNNNNNNNNNNNNNNNNNNNNNNNNNNNNNNNNNNNNNNNNNNNNNNNNNNNNNNNNNNNNNNNNNNNNNNNNNNNNNNNNNNNNNNNNNNNNNNNNNNNNNNNNNNNNNNNNNNNNNNNNNNNNNNNNNNNNNNNNNNNNNNNNNNNNNNNNNNNNNNNNNNNNNNNNNNNNNNNNNNNNNNNNNNNNNNNNNNNNNNNNNNNNNNNNNNNNNNNNNNNNNNNNNNNNNNNNNNNNNNNNGUUUCACGGCGGUGGUGGCUGAGAGGAGAUGCGGUGAAGGGACUGCACAACACCGGAGCUUUGCGAGGUCCUACGUUGCCACUGGUGGUGGUGGUGGCAGGGUAUGUGGUUUGUUUGGAGCUCAUGUCAAGUUACAGAUAAAAAUGAGCCCCCCUCCCCCCAAAUGGCAAAUUUGUUUGCAGUGAUGGCAAGUUCACAUGGAGCCAUACUACAAAUUUUCCAUAUUUUUUAUUGAGGAAGAACAAUAUAUUGCCAUGGAAAAUUCAUACAUGGUUUCUUGACAUGUGUGGUAGAUGUGCUGGCAAGUUUUAAACCAAUAUUUGCCAUGGUUAAUUCAGUAUGUAGUUUUUGAUUUGGCGGUAGAGAUGUCAAGGCAAUUUUGCCUCCUCUAGUAUGCGGCGAUCGUCGCCCAAUUUUGGACGUAAGAACUCUCGAGGCCCAAUUUUCCAGCAAUUUUUAUCAGCUUCGCAACGUGGCUCUCAUUACACGCACGAGCUUUGCAACGUGGCCCGUGAAGUGGAGGUUGCUUUUGCAACACAUGUGGUGUUGCAUACCAAUCCCAUGACUAUGCAGCACGUGCCCGCGCCCCGGCUCGUUGCCUUGUCACUGUGUCGCGUUGGGACCCUCCCUAGCCACCACGCAUCAUCCAUCGCGACCUUGUCGCCGUCCGCCGCAUUGAUUCGGCCGGGGACGGAGAGAUCUACCGGCCCAGCCUAUCCACUGCCACGGUCAUCGGUGCCCCACCAAUGACAUGUGAACAACCACAACAAUCCCGGAGUCAACGACGACCACGUUUCUACACCACCAUCUCCGUUGAAAUUUUUUCUACAACAUCAUCUGUGUUGGAAAGGGUUAUGGAGCACUGCCUUUGUUGCAAUGGUGAGGGAGGGCAGGGCCACUAUAUUGAGCCAGAUCUAAUGGCUGCCGAGGCGGCAGAAAAGAUUUGCCGGCCGACGUGUAGUAUGUCCCACUAUUCUUUUCUGGAUUCGUUUUUCUGUUUUUUCCAGUUUUCUUAGAACUUUGUUUGGCAUUAUCUGAACUUUUUUUAAUAACACACGAAUUUUUCUUGUCGUGUAAUUAUAUAUUUUAAAAUGUAUGAACUUUAUAAAAAUACAUUCACAUUUCCUAUUAUAUUUGAAAUAAAAAAAUAAAAAAAGUUCAUGUCUACCUCGAAUUUGUUCAGCAUGUUUUUGGAAAAUGUUUCAUCGGUAUUAAAAAAUUGUCAACAUGUUUUUGAAAAAUGUUUGUCAUGCUUCAAAAAAUAGAAAACGUGUAUUUUAAAAAUAUUCAGUGUGUUUUAGAAAAUGUUCAACGUGUAUUAAAAAAAUAUUAUGUACAAUUAGUCUUACAUGUGUAUAGACUACAAACGUGUGUAACAUUUUUAAUACAUUUCCUAUGAUUAUUAUUAUUAAACAAUAAUUUUUAAUACAGGUUGAACAAUAUACAAUAAUUGUGUGCUUUUGGUCCUGAAUUAAGAUACGAAAUUUACAAAAUAAUAUUUAAUACAUGUUGAACUGUUUAAAUACAUGUAAAUUUUAGAAGAAGUUCACGUUCAUCCACAUAUGAUAAUAUUGUAUACACCGUUUUAUUAGAAUAAUAACAGUUGAGAUUUAAAGGUUCUUACGUAACAUCGUAAUAUAUAUGUGCCAGUAGUAUUGAACCGUCAUGUUGUCACGUUAUAUAUGAACAUAGGAGGCUGCAAAUAAUCAUGACGUACACACAUACCUUAAAAAAACAUGACGUACACACAUGUACACAAAUAAAAGCUCUAGGAAAAAAAAGUAGGAUGACGUAUGAAUUAGAAACGGAGACCUAGGGGAGGUAGAUCUAUUUAGUAUGAAAAAAUUCCAUACACACAUAGGACGUGAAGGCAGACUUCAACUUGGACACAUACAAGUAUUGCACAAGAAAGCACGCGUGAAGGAUAUUCAUUGGAAAAGAACCUGUACGUAAAUCUACCAACGAAAAGAAGGCAAUAAAUGUCUCCACAAUUAUUUCACUAAAAAUGUCUCCAUGACUUGGAUUUAUCUCCUUAUGCAAAACGAGAUCGAGUGACUACAAAAUUGGAAGUAAAAUAAAAUCAGCUAGAAGUUUCCUAAUCUCUUCACGGCUCUUUCUCUAAAAAGAAUUCUCCACGUACGACUCAGAUUUAUCUCUUUAUUAUAAGGAAAAAAAGAUUGACUGUCAAACGGUUGGAAAGAAAGAAAAAAUACGGCUAGAGGAUUUCCUAAUAUGAUUCGGAAAUUAAAUAAGGAAACACAUUUUUUUGCCGAUCUAUCUCCUUGUAGGGAAAAAAGAUUGAUUAUGAAUUUGAAAAAAAACGGCUAGAGAGUUUCCUAAUAUGAUUCGGAAAUUAAAUAAGGAAACGAAUAUUUCGGAUCUACUACCUCCGUCCCAAAAUAAGGAAACGAAUAUUUCGGAUCUAGUGUAGUGUUAAAAACGUAACUAGUGUAGUGUUAAAAACGUAGAAACGUUUUUAACACUACACUAGUGUUAAAAACGUUCUUAUAUUUUGGGACGGAGGGAGUACGUAUCUCCUUAUAGGAAAAAAAAGAUUGAUUAUGAAUUUGAAAAAGAAACUUAGGCUAGAGACUUGCGUACUACUAUGAAUAUUGGAAAUUAAUAAUUAAUUAAAUAAAGAAAUGAGUAUUGGCUAUUAUGCACGUUCGAUAGACUUCACACAAGACCAUCGAUCUCCGUGGAGACUAGGAGCAAAGGGCACAUUGGCUGGCCAGCUACGCAGAAAUAUAGUUGUUACUAAUGUUAACUGGACCAUUUCCUCAAAAAAGAAAAAGCUUAACUAGGCCAUGAAAGCACGUACAUGUGAGAGAGAAAACACUAGAUUAUCUAAUCACUGGCUAGACUUAGACUCACAUUAUACACCUGAGAUCAUCAUCGUUGGGCCAGAAUUUUGAGUGCCCUGCUGCACCUGUUGAUCAUGCUAGAGUAGAUCACCCAGAAACAUUGCAAUGCUAUUCGCUAAGGUAUUAAAAAAUAUUACGCACAAUUAAUCAUACAAGUGUAUAGACUACAAACAUGUGUAACAUUUUUAAUACAUUUCCUAAUAUUAUUAUUAUUAAACAAUAGUUUUAAAUACAGGUUGAACAAUAUACAAUAAUUGUGUGCUUUUGGUCCUGAAUUAAGAUACAAAAUUUAAAAAAUAAUUUUUAAUACAUGUUGAACUAUGUAAGUCCAUUUAAAUUUUAGAAAACGUUCAUGUCUACCUCUUCAAGGUACACAAUAAUGAAAAUAGAAUAGAGAUUUAAAAUACAAAAUAAUUGUAUACUACUACUUAUCGUAACUUUUUUAUGUGGGAAAAACUAAAUGCAAACUUGGACAAAAUAAAAAAGAAAACGAGUAGAAACUACUACAUGGUUGGCGUACAGGACCAGCCAAAUUAUAUGCGGUGCUAUAGGCGAGCGAUUUGCUCAAAAAAAAAGAGGCGAGCGAUACAUGGUAUAGUCUAUAUACGUUUCUAGCCCAUAGGUGGAUAAACACGGUUUGACCAGGUGGCUAGCUUGUUUGGUUUCAUAGCUGGAGGUCUUAGGUUCAAAACCCUUUGCUCACAAUUUAUCCUAGUCAGGACCUACAUGUUUCUUUUUGUUAUUUCUCUCUCUCUCUCUCUCAUACUAACAUGCGGGACCCACACUCUACUGCAAGCUGAUGUUAUUUCUCUCUCUCUCAUACUAACAUGCGGGACCCACACUCUACUGCAAGCUGACAUAGCAACAGUCUAGGCACCUCACGUAGCUUGGGACGUAGUGAGGACUGACAUGUGGGCCAAAGAAGUAAAAACGCACAACACAUUAGCACGAGCCAUCCAUGACGGUCCAGAUGAUGUAUAAGGGAAAUUUUUUGGUCCCGCUACUCAUUUCAUGACGGUUUUUGUGACGGUUCCUUUAUGUCUGUCAUAACGGGGGCUAUUGUUUUAGGAUCCAUUCUCAUCUUCCGGAUAUGUGACGAUUUCAGUGACGAACUCCGUAAACUGUCAUCGAUGGCACCCUAUAUGUGACGGAUUGUAGGAACGUCACCUGAAAUCCGUCAUGGAUUAACAGGUUUCUUGUAGUGUAUGGCACACUAUGGAUUCUUUGUAUAACACAUACUGUCGAUCAACAUGUGUUUACAACGUAGGGAGGAGCCGGGCGACAAGGCAGUCAGACCAAACUCUCUAUCCAUAUAUAUAGGUAGUCUGAUGUUAUGCCAUAGCCGAACCAUAUAUGUUUCGUGUACUGCUCUAUCAAUCUGGUCUUUUGGUAUAUUAGACUCUAUCCUUUGUAAUGAACUUAUUGUCAUGGGCGAUCAUUAUGACUGGAUCGUAUGGUAUGAAUCGGGUCUUUAUGCUUUGUGAUGAAAUAUCAUAUUAUCCUGUUCACCAGUUUGGUUUGGUUUUGAGCUAAAACGUAUAAAAAUACAUGGCUUACAACAAUGGAUAUAUGUGAUGAUAUAUUGAGUGAUUAAGCAUAAUUUUAGACUUUCGGUGCUGGACCAAUGGGAUGCAUGGGGUAAUUGAAUGUUUCUUCUUCACUUUAUUAUUAUCGGUUGGGAUCAGCACUCUCGCGCGAUCUAGUUAUGAUGAUGCUGCCUAUACAAAGCAAACCUACGUGGCUAUAAAGUGGAGCACCAUGCGAACAAGAAACUGGCGCUUGAGGACAAACACGAGUGGAACUGAUGUCUGAUGCAACACGGCGCUGCUGUACGCGUCAGGGCGGACAGCAACGACGUGUAACAGAUGGGAUGUCGGAUUGCACGCAAAACAAAGGAAUCCAAUGCAAUUUUGAUAGGUUUUUUUUCAGAUUAUGGACGAGCUUGCGGCGGAAACUAUGGUGGAGAAAAAAAAGUUUGAUCUAGUAGACAAAAUUUUCUCGUACAAAUCUAAACCAGCACUAUUUGUAGGAUGAUGCAACCAAAAAUUCAACUACGCAAGUACUAGAUGCAAAAAUUGCUAAAGGCUAAAAAGAUAGAUGCAAAGGAUGAACUAAUCUUUCUUUCUUUUUUGGCUUUUUUUGGGUUAUAGGACAUGAAAAAUAAACUAAUCUAACAAAACUGUAAAUCUCUCACCGAUGAAACUGAAAACUGACACCACUUAUGUGACGGCGGUCCGAUGUUUCGAUGAGAGUGAGGAUAACUAUCAAUUUGGUGGAUUCUGAUCUUGACGAUCCGGCUAUACAAUACCCGAUGAUAUGCCUCGACAAUCGCUAAACCAAUCUCCGAUGGUUAUUGACCUUGCCGUAGGCACGGUCAACCUGAACGACGAGGUUUGAGUUCCUGCAAGCAACUAAAGAGAAGAACAAAGGUGAAUUGCAAUCUGAAAUUGCGAAUGAAAAAUUAAGCACAUGAACUAGAUCAAAAGUUGGGGUUCCACUUUGGAUCUGAUAAGGCGGUAGUCCUACACGUCUCAUAGAUGCGAAAUUGUAGCAUGGCUAAACAAUACAAUAAAACCCACGUAAACCCUAGAAUAUGAUGACUAUUUAUUAAAGGCCGGCGUGGAGAACGCUUCAUCUAUUUUCUUGGAAGUCAAGACGGGCCUGCUAAUUGGCCGGACCCACACGCGAUCUGAUUUGAAAAUAAACUUCUCAUAUCAAUCUGGUGGCAAACUGCCUCGUCGGUACUAUAGGCCCAGAUGCGCAACACACAAGGCCAUGCAUGGGCGCAAAACCUAUCCGGCGCCCUCAGCGUCCGAUACCGUGUUAACGGUAAAGGGCGCAGAACGUCGUGAGAUACUUCGGUCCAUAUCCGGUGUGGGCGUUAGAGCAUUGAGAUAAGUACCAUGAUUCAAACCGGCAAUCGACUGGUUCAACACACACCACCUAACCAAUAGGCCACCUGCUGUUGACGUGGUUAGUUAUAGCUUUUCCUUCUUUUCUUCUUUGUACCUUCUUUUUUGUUUUUUUGUUGGAAUGAUUUUGUUAGUUUUUAUUAUUUUCCUUCUUAAUUUUUUUCAAUAAUACCAACAUUUUUCGUUUCAAUUUCGUGAAUUUUUUAAAAUUCGAUAUUUUUUUUCAAAAUUCAAUGAACUUAUUUGAAAAAAGAUGAACUUUUUACAAAUUGGAUGAACUUUUUUCAAAUUUGAUGAACCUUUUUUCAAUCUCGAUAUUUGUUUUCAAAUUUGCCAACUUUUUUGAAAAUUCAUGUACAAUUAUGAAUUCAUGAAUUUUUUGAUUUUUUUUAAUUUUGCAAAUUUUCCCUUUUUAGUUUUUUUAAACAGCAAUGGUUUUUUCGACAAGUGCUUGCAAGAGAAAAAAGGCUAGCAAAGGAGCGAGCAGCGACCGAUCGAGCCAGCAGCAGCGGUCGAGCGAGCAGUCGAGCGAUUAGCGAUCGAGCGAGCAGCGAUCGAGCGAGCCAGCAGCAGCGGCCGAGCGAGCAGUUGAGCGAUUAGCGAUCGAGCGAACACAUGCAUGUUGAUUCGAUAAUGCUCAAGUGUAAAUCUUCUGUAUUAAACUUCGCAUCUUCACCCGAGGUUUGUGCAUGUCUUCUUUAAUCCUGCAUAUAAAAUAUUGUGUUGUAUUUUUGUUUCGGAUAACAAAAUAAUAAUUCAUAUAAUUUCUAUUAGAAUUCAUCUGAUAAUUAUCUUUAAGCGUAAUAAUUGUUGUUAUAUCCGUACGGGCCAUGUUUAUAUCAGGUCGUUAAUCUUCUUCUUCUUGUCCGCAAGCCACUUCUUCACAUGCUCAUCCAAGAUGGUUUCGUCUGCCAACAUGAUCAUCGCAUCCACCACGUCCUGUGAGAGUUGCAAUCUCUCCUUCUCAAGCUCUAUGUAGCCAAAUGUCUUGGCCUUCUCGAGUUCCCAUUUGAUCGCCACCCCUUGGUGGUCCACCAUGUACGAAACUCCUUGCACCGCCGCCGCCUCCCUCUCUCGCUGCAGGCGUUGCCGCAACUACCGGGCGGCGUCCUCCGCCUUGCAAGUCGGAGCCGACGAAGGGUCGCCGACGGACAAGGUGGACUGCGUCUUCGUCGCGGUGGUGGAUCGGGACCGGUGGUGAGGAUUGGGAGCAAGGGUGGAGGACGGCGAGGGUUUGGGUGCGGCAAAAGUUGGAGGGCGGCGGGAGGAGGAGAAAGGGUUUGGUGCAUUUGGCACAAUUUUCGAUGGGGUCGGGCUGACGGGUCCGACGUGGCGGGCGCGCCCGGGCGCCCCAUAUUUGGGCUGGAUAUGAGGGGUGUCAGUCAGCCCAGGCGUUCGAGGCCCGUUUAAGGAGCCCGUCUGGAUCGAAAAAUCGUGACCGGGUGGCCCACCCGGGUGUAUGAGCCAGGCUUGAGGUGCCCGACUGUAGAUGCUCUAAUCAUCUAGAUCCGACGCUCAAAGGCUCCACCCUUCCCCACGGCUUGGGUUCGGGCGCCUCCCCAAAACUUCGUUGGGAUCCGCCACAACCGGCAACGGCGAGGCCAGAGGUGGCCGGAUCCGGCACAGGUUGGUCUCUCCCCUCCUUCUUCGCCCACCCUCUCCUCCUUACCUCACGCCACUUGUCUUCCCUUUUUCGCAGGUCGCCAUGGCGCGGACGGCGAUGACGGCAGGAGGGGCACACACAUCCGUGGAAUGGGACGCCGCCAUGGAGAUGGAGAUCGUUCGUCACACCACGCAGAGGCCCCAUGGAGCCUCCCUCCUUCGGUGACUUCUUCUCAGGCCCCACCCACUACCUCUGCCCUCCCCCCUCCCCUACUUUGAGUUGCACCAUGCUUUGUUUCAGAUUCAUCCACCCAUGGAUGAUACAUGGCAAGUUAGGGGUAGUUGCAGUUUGAGGUUAAUCCCUUGAUUGGCUGCUAUUUAGGGUUGAUUAGAUUAGUUAGCUCAGUUGGCUGCUAGACUUUAGGAGUGCAUACAUGGGUAUGACGUGCUCUGCACAUUUAGGAUUGAAGUAUUGUGCUGCAGCACUCAGUGACGUUAAUUUAGGGCAUUUCAGUGUCAGUUUCACUAUAUUUCGGGGGACAUUUAACAGUGCAAUUUCAUGGUUAUUACAGUGUAAUUUCAAGGUUCUUGCACUGUAAGUUCAGAGAAUUACAAUGUUAGUUUAUGUGAAUUCCCGUGCAUUUUACUGUGUAAUUUAAGUGCAAUGGAAAUUAUAGUGUAAAUUCAGUGUAAUUUACUAUGUAAAUUUACGGAAAUUACACUGUAAUUCGUGUGCAACUUUUAGUGUAAUUUACACUGUAAUUUCAACGGGUUUACAGUAGAGUAAUUUAAUUGUAAUUACAGUGUGCACUUUAGAGCAAUCAUACUAUAUAUUUAGUGAAUUUAAAGUAUCACUCCAUACCUUUCCGGUUUGUCUUUUUUCUCUACAAG